rnacentral:lncRNA from 1 species
UUUUUUUUUUUUUUUUUGCGUAGUAGGGUAUCUGGGCCCAUGAACUGGUAAUACCGUACGGCCCAACUAAUCCCUACUGCAGGCUGGGAGCGGCUCGCCCCAAGCGUCACCAGCCUCAUGAUUAUGACAGCAACAAGCUGGUGACGCUUGGGGCGAGCCGCUCCCAGCCUGCAGUAGGGAUUAGUUGGGCCGUACGGUAUUACCAGUUCAUGGGCCCAGAUACCCUACUACGCAAAAAAAAAAAAAAAUUAUCAUGAGAAGCAGAACCGAUAGACGGGAGUAAUAGGGCAAGAAAUAAGUGCUAUUUUGCAUUAACUCUUUGGUUGAAUUGAAAAAAAAAAAGAAAAAAAGAACCCUUGGUUGAAUUGAGGUAAGGAAGUGAUUGUUUAAGGUGUUGUUAUCUUAAUUUUAGAGUUUAUGAAGGAGGUUCUUGGUGUUUUUUCAUGAACAUACUUGAGUUGAUCACCCUUGCUUGAGAAAAAUGGGCUGCUUCUCAUGAUUAUGACAGCAACAAUAUGGAUAAGUACUAUGCCCAGGGAGGAAGGAGAUAAGUAUUGGUUUUUCACAGUUUGGCGCUCACAUUUAUUGUAUAAUUAUAAACUAUGCCCCACUUAAAAUAGUUUUCUAAUUCAGACCCACAACUUUAGACAUUUGGAGUAUGGGUAUUACAGCACCUGCGAUGCACGUGUAUCUAGGUGGCAAAGUUGGAUCUUGCGGGUUGUGGCCAUAAAAACCAUAAUUAACAAAUAAUUUGCAGACGAAAUUAAAAAAUUAGCACACAAAAGAUUACCUAAACCUUAUUAAGGUCUUUUACCUUUCUUGUCUAAGUGGUAACUUUUACUCUUUACAGAAAAUAGCUGAAUAGGUUCUACCCGUAGUUGUCUAUGUAGUGUGGUAAGUUUUUCCACACAUUUUUAGUACUUAUGAGUGGCUGGUAGUAAAUAUUGUCAGAGCAAAAAUUAGGAUCCAGAGCAAAUUUCUGUUCAUGAGACAACUUUGCCCUUGCUUCAGGUUUUACAAUUAAACUUUAAAAUUUUGGGGUUUCAAAUGAAACUUUGCCAAAAUUUAAUUGCUCUUCCUACAUUCUGCCAAUCAAUUAAUCACUCCGUCUAGUUUCUAGCCCACGAUGAUUCCCAUCUUCGUUCUCCUAGCCCCCAAACAAUUGAACCACUGACACCCUCACUAGCAACUCAAGCACCACAUCAAAACCCAAAAAAGCCUCGUCAACUGCUUCUUCCUCUCACAACUAUUGGCGACUUUGUCAAUAUCGCCCAAUACUACGGAUCACUUUUUUUUCUUUUCUCAUCUUCUAGAAUUGAAAUGAGUGAUCGUGAAGAAAGAACAAAUAAAUGGGUUCUGAAAGACAUCUAUUUUUUUCUCCGAGUAUCUAAUGGUCACCCUUUUAUUUGUUGAACUUGCAUAUUAUUUGGAUAUCUCCUUUAAACUUGUGAAUGGUUGAUUGAAAUAGUAAAAAGAGAUUUAUAACUAGUUGAGAGAGAGGGCAGUUAGUGGAGGAAGAAGGACAUAUACUGAGAGCUGAAAUUUGGUUGGAAAAAAGAGUCUAAAACUUUUGUUGAAUUUUGAGAUGGAGCCCGGUUGGAGGUUAAUGGUUGUGGCAGUGAUAGAUGGGGCUUUAUUGAUGUGGCGAUCAUGAUGAUCAAGAACUGAAAAUUUUUGGAGUUGGGAACAAGAAAAGAAAAAAGAGGUUUGUUAUGGGGUCUGGAGGAAUUAGUUGAAGUAAUGGUUAUUAAUGUAAGGUAGAGCAAAAUUGUCUCAAGAAUUGAAAUUGCUCUGGAUCCUUUUUUUUUGCUCUGGCAGUAUCAUCUACCCUCAUGAGUAAUAGGAUUCAUAUCGUUGUGAUAGUUGUUGAAACUGAAUAUUCUGAGGAUAUGUAGAUAAUCUACUGAAGGCAUAUAUGUCAAGCUACAAACUAUUUAUAACAAAGAUUUCAAAUUAGGAUUUGACGGAAACUAUGCUAUAUGAAUCCAAUGAUUCAUAUAGAUACCCAAUGGUGCAGGUUCGAACCUAUGUACUAAAAGACUACAAUCUUUAGGGCAUUCACUAUUAGCAAUUGUAAGAGGGGCCAAAAUGUCAUAAUAUACUUUUAAUUGCAAUAAUGUUUUGAUAAUUAUAGUAGAUAUUUUUAAGGAAAUAAGUAAAAAAUGAAAUUAUCUAUUAAUAUGUGUAAAAGGAAGUUCACUUUAAAAUAGUCAAAGGUGCCAGAGUUGAUGUAAUAUGAUUGUCAUUAACUUAUUAAAGGGAUUUAAUUUAGUAAAACACUUGCACCAAAUAGCAAAUGAAUAUACCCGUCAAAAUUGUGUAACCUACUGGAAAACAAAAAAUUGGCAAGUAUGUAAACUUAUGAUGUUAUACUUUCUUAUUGAAGCACAAUCCUCCAUUUUUUCUUCAGCCUAUUUUGUUUUUCAGUAAAUCUUGGAUUUGCACAUUUACUAAUAAAUUUUUGUUUUCAUGAUACACUAAUCAAUUCUCUUUUCAUUCUUUUGGGGUCUAAUAAUAAUGUUUGUCAAAAUUAGAUUUCUCAUUUAGAAAUUAAUGGUAACUACUAUCGUCUUAUACAUUUUUUAUUUUGCAAUCAAUUGCAUAAGAACUUUGAAUUUGUAUGAUUUAAAAUAUUUUAUCACGAGUCUAAUUCCGUUAAAGAACAAUGUAUAGCUAAUAACAGUACAGUUCGGUUAAAUUGUUACAGUAAUCGAAUCCACAGUAGGUGAAUUUUGCUUGAGACGCAAUUAAAAGCUCAAAUAAAGUUAAACAUAAGUGGUAUAACAAACAAAGCUUUAUGAGCUGAGGAGACGUUGGUCUAGUAACUAAGAUUGAUAUUCCUAAAUUUAGAGUUACUAAGUUCAAGUCGCCCUACCCCCUUCCCGCUUCUUAAGUUUCACUCUUUUUCUGCUGAAAAAAAUUAAAAAAAUCUUUUUGAAGUCUUGUAUCUAGAACACAAAAUUUAACUUAUUUAUUUAGAUUAUUGAUCUUGAAUUGCAGAAUGAAUUGUUUCUCAAUCUAACAAAUAAUGAGUGCAAAUAUCAACUUCGUGAAUUUCUUUAUUGUUUAAAUUAGUGUUCUUUAAUUGUUGUUUCAAUCUUUUUGUUGUUUCUCUUUAUUCCUUAGUGUUCUGGUUGACUUGGAAUGAAAUCAUGUCUUGUCUUAAAUUUUGUCGUCAUUGUUUCACAUAUAUAUAUAUUUAUUUAAUUUUCCUUAAUAACACCAAAUGUUUUUCUCUUUUGUAUGUCACAAAACUUUCUAGCAUAGUGCAACCUAGUUGAGUGAAAUGCAAUUAUCUAAAUGUUAGCAUAGGUAGCCACCUAGAAUCAAGGAAAGAAGUAAUAAUAAUACAUAAUAAAGUGAUUAUUUAUCUAGAAGACAUCCAUGAUUAGCUAACCUCAGACUGUAUGUAUAAAACAAAUUGAGAAAAGGAGCCGCUAAGAAAUGUUACAAGAGUACUUGUACUAGAAGUUGUCUAUACUCAGUAGCAUAUAUUCACCUAGGCCUUCAGUUCAGCUAAGAGAAAGCAUUAAACCAGCUGUGCAUAUCCAGACAUUAAAACCAAAAUUCAGGCAUUAACACGACUUUGAUUUUAAGACAAAUAUUGAAAAAAAAAAAAUCGAAAUCCAAAGUAAUCCUGGCAAUAAAGUAUUGGGUAAACUACUAAUAACCCCUUUAGUUUCAUCUAUUAUCAUAUAAUUCUCCUAACGUUUCAAAAUAUCCAUUUCAUCACUCUAUGGUUUCAUGUAAACUGAAAAUUUAACGAAAAUAGUUUAUGUAACGUCGUUAGUUGAAAUACCAAUAAUGCUCUUAUUUAAAUGUUAAAUCAAAUGACGACUUAACCACCUUGCACAAAACUAUAGGGAGAUUAUGUGGAUAAAUAUAAACAUCAUCUAGGGAUAAAGUGAAUAUUUAUGCAAAUUCAUAGGGGGGUUAAAUGGAUUUUUUGACUUCAUCACAUAUACUUUUAGAAAACGUGUGGCCUAAUUGCAUUAACUAAUUAUGAAUUCCAUCUAUUUUUCAUUUACAUAAUAAAACCACAGAGGGCUUAUGUGGUUUUUUUGAAACCUAUGGGAGGGUCAUUUAUUAUGCAAAAUCCUAGGAGGAUUAUAUGUAAUUUAACCUUUAGAUAAUCGAUGGAUCAGGAAAUUUGAGCAUGCUGACAGUAAUUCACGUCCCACCAGCUUCAGAUUCUUGUUAUGCACCACUUUUAUAGAGCAUAAAAGUGGAAAAAUAGGCAAACAAUCAAACAACAGAGAGGAAAAGAGAAAUCAAUAUCUGUCCUCACCAUAUAACAUGAACAUGUUUAAGUAUCGAGACAAUAUGUUUACCUGCUUUAACUUUCCAAAAUGAACAAAAUUAAGAAUGCCUUCACAACAAUAUCUAAAAUCAAUUACAUUAGAUAAGUUGAAAUCUAAGUAUGACAUUUGAUUGCUUCUCACUUUUCCAAAAUAGUGUGAAUGACAAGCCAUUAGCUCAAAGUGAUCCAACCAUUAGAUGAUACUACAUAGAAGCAUUGUACCUUAACUUGAGCUCACACAGCAAUGCGUGCAUCUGUUUCUCGAGAUUUCUGUUGCAUUUGUUUCUUGUGCUUCAGAAAAUGCCAAGAGAUGUCAGCUUGAUUGUUAGCCUUCCAUAUCUUGAUAGUUAUGUGAUGACACUGGUUUACACUGCAAGGGUUAAAAGAUAAGCAGUGCCAUGUAUACAGAAGAUUGUGCGUUAAACUUUGAUUAGCUAGUCAUAAAUAGGGUAUGCUAUCCUAAUUUUCUUUCUUUUUCCUCAAUUCUAGUACAAUAUUUACUUUCUUAUCUGGAAAGGCUAAUGGUUUUGUUCUUCCAAUCAAUCAGAAAGGUAGUGCCAUUUGUGUCUUUUUAUUUUUAUCUUGUUUAUCAUCACCCGCAGAUUCAUUUCCCUUUUUAAUUUCCUUCUCAGCUCUGGUUUCAACCUUGAAAAUAGGCUUUCUAGGGGUUGUAGAUAAUCAAUCCCAAAGUUGAAUAUAUACAGUCAAGACUAAUGACUAAUAAACUUGAGGAAAAAAUCAAAAUCAUGUAAUGCCAACUUUUAAUGGGAACCUUGGAGAACUAAUGAACAUUCAAUAUAACAAACACAUAUAAAUCACUAAUAACAACUGGAAGCUGGAAAACCAACCACUUCAAAUUGCUUCUAUUGCUACCAACAUACCUGUUAAUGAGACAAAAGAACUAAACCCUUGGAAUUUUGAAGAUUUUCAGGGACUAGUGCUCUUCCACUCCUGUUCCCUAGUUUCCUUGAAUAAAACUUCCUUCAGCUAAUUAACUUCGUCGAACAUUUUUAGGGACCAAUGCUUUUCGACUCCUAUCCCCUAGUUAUCAUGAAUAAAACUUCCUUGGGUUAAUUAACUUCAUUUAUAAGAUGUUAAUCGAGUAGGAAAUUGAUUUUUUGUAUAUAUAAAUUGAUUUGAGAAUAUUAAAGUCGUCUGAAUUUUUAUAUACAAGUAAUCCGUUGAUGGAAUCAAAUUAAUGAGGGUAUUUUGGGAUUACAAAAAAAGGAAGAAAUAUGAUUAUAUUAUAUAGUAAUAGAUUUAUAUACUUUUUUUUAAGUGGGAGGUUUUAAAUUUAGGAUCUCCUAUUUAAAAUCUCUCCCCCCUUACUGCCCUACCCAACCCUCCCCUGAUAUAUAUACUUCUUUAAACAAAUUUUUAUUCAUUUCUAAAGCAAAGUAUUAUAAUUAAUGACUAGUGCUACUGUAAUUUUUUUUCUUUACUUUUCUUUUUAGAAAUGUUAAUUUACAUGAGCAAUCUACUUUAUUAUACAACAUACUGUUACAAUCCUUAAUUAAUCCCAAGAUUUUUUUUUUGGCUAAUCCCAAGCUUUGUUUCAACUCUCUUUCAACUUUACGUUGUAGUUGAGAUUAAUGGCAAAUUUUUGCCAAAGCAAUAUGACUCUUUACACUAUUAGAUAACACUGCUAUGAGUGUACUAAAAACUAGAUAUGUUUAAGAUUUGAAUCGUGUGUCUAGCAGUUGGAAGUGAAAAGGGUGUGAGGAAGAGUAGAAAAAUUUUUAAAAAAAAUGAUAGUCGAAACCUUCAGUAAUCAAUCAAUAAUACCAACUUACCAUUGCGAUUAUUCUUGUCCAUGAAUGUAGGUGAACUAGUACCCUCCAAUAUAAGGAUUUUUGGAGAGUCGUGAAAGUGACAUUUGUCAAAAGCAUCUAUACUGUUGGGUUUGGUAGCCCCGUAAACAAAAGCCCAAUUGGUUGAAGUUAAUUUGACUUAGAAAACCAAUGAUUACUGCUAGUAGCCGUGGACUUCUUUCUUGGAAAUGGAAAUAUAAGCUUCAGCUACAAUUGAUCCGUUGAUCAAUGCGAGGUUCAUCAACUGUGAGCAAAGAAAAAAGCCAGCAACCAACCAUUGAAAAGAAAUGAAGAGAGAGAAAAUUGGGGAGAGAAACUAUAGAGAGAAAUAACUUCAAGGCCUUGAUCGAAUAGUGAUUCGAAAUCCGAUUGAGACAAAAUUUUAAUCACGCGAUCCUCUCAUCAACCUCUACCCAUCUAUUGGUUCAAGUUUGGAUUUCUUCUUCAUUUGGUAAUACCCUUUCAAAUCCACUUCUUUGAUAUUUGUAGUUUUUGGGAGAUGAUUUUGUAGCAAUUUUGCUUGGUUAAUGUUGGUGAUGUUGUUAUCAUCCGGAUAUUCGAGUAGACUUAUGUAUUUCCAUUACUGUGAUAGUGGAGGUUUUUUUACUAGAUUAGAUCUUGUGAUUUUUUUAAUUUGGGAGGGGUCGUCACAGAUGGUAUCAGAGCCUAGGUUUGAAUUGGCCUGGGCGGAUUGAGUGAGUGUAGUUGUGAUGGCUUAAGUGCGAGUAUUUAAGUGUGAAACCCUAAAGUGUUAGGUGGUAGAUCUUGCUUCAUUUGUUUAAGUUUCUUCUUGAUGCUUGAUUGUAAUGUAGGAAUGAAUGGAAACAGUGGAAAUAAGAACCAUGAGCGGUCUCGUCGAGUCCUUAGCCACCAAGUACGUCUAGGAGGAUCCUAUAUUUGACCUGAGAAGUUGAUUGAAGAGAUUGGCUUAAUGAGUGUUGUCAUGGACUAGUUCCAUACAUGUUUGGCUUGGGUUUCUAUAGUGAAUAGCUAACUUGAAAAUUUGAUGGUUGUCCCUGUUUGGAGUUUAAUCCUUGUAAGGAUCUUAUCAUGUGUGCUACGUAUGGCUAUUCUUGGGUUUGAGUGAGGAGUUCCAUUUUGUGACUCAUAAGUAAGGACAGACUUGAUAGUUCUAUUGAAAGGGAUCAUAUUAUUGGGAUAUGUAUACCCGACAAUUAGUGUGAGAUAGGUUAUGAUCACUCUCAAGUGACACCCUGAACUUGUGCGAGUAAAGGUAGGAAUUUCGAGGACGAAAUUCUUUUAAGGGAAAGUGAGUGUGAGACCCCGAAAUUUUACUUGUCUUUAUAGCUCUUAUUUGAACUUACUUGGCUUAGAUUCUUGGUUGUUUUAAUGGUUGAAUUUGAGCUAAGGGAGUGAAUUUUGUUAAGAAAAGUUUCAUAAUCUCAAGUUGGUAGAAAAUCUGGAAAUUUUCGCAGGAGGCUCUGCGCAGCUUUGGAAAAUUGGCUAUAACUUCGUACAGGAAAGUCAGAAUUGAGUUCCGUUUGUUGCGUUUGAAACUAGAUUCAUAGAGUUUCCUUCGAUAUAAAAUUCAGAGUUUGAUUCAAUCUCUAUAAAUUCUAGAAAAUUGGCAAAUUUUACUGAAAAUUCUGCCCUACACAAGUAAACGUAGGAAUGUUGUAGUAGAUUAUGGCUCAAUUUGGACUAACUUAUGAGUUGAAUUUCUUUGAGGUGUCUUCUAAAGAUUAUUAGUAUGUGAAGUCUAGUUCUUAAUAGGCCAAGUCGUAUGAAAUUUUGAUACUUAUAACUCAAGUUAUGAUUUUUCUAAAGGAAGGGCAUAAGUUAGGGUUUUUUGUGCAUACUAGGGUUUUUGGUGUGUUUUUUGUGCAUUUUGGUAGUGUGAUCACUUGGUGAGAUAUGUGUACUAAAUUUGGUGGAUAAGAAUGAGUAUUAGGUAAGAAAAGUGUGUGAUUAGAAGUAAUAAUAAUAAGUUAGUGAAUCAUAAGUGAAAACUUUAGUAUGUGCGAGUUAAGGAAAAACGGUGAGAACCAGACAUUUUUCUUAUUUUCUAGCCCUUAUUUUCAUUCCGUGCAUACAUUUUCUAUACUUUUCUCUAUUAUAUUAAUUUUCUAGCUAUUUUAUAAGGGAAUUAAGUUCCAAGACAUUUUUCCGGUAUAAGUUAGUUCAUGUGACAUUAGUAAUGUAUAUUGGACGCGGGACCCGCUAGUGCGGUACGUGCGAUAAUUUUUGACAACUAGUUGGUGAACUAUGGAGUUAGUUGCAAAGAUUAAAAGUUAUUGGGGCCAUAGUGUGAGGAUUAGCAAAGUAAGAUACUAGGAACCUUAGAGCCUCUAGGAUUUUCCUAAGCUCAAUUUUGAUUGAUGGAGAAAAAGUAUCUUUGACUUUAGCUUAAAUAUCUAAGUUAUUAGUAAAUGAAAGGAAAAAAAACAAAGCCAAAUUAAGAGGAAAAAGAGAGAGGGAGGCCAUGAGUUUCAUGGAGAGAGCAAGAGAAAAGCUUCAACUUUGGGUUCUUGAUUUCUUGCUCAAUCUUGCAAACUAACCAACAGAUUCACCAAAUAAUCCAUAGAAGUCACUACUACAAAAAUGAUCUUUAGUCACACACUUAAUAUGACAUUUUCUUAAAAGUGUCACAACAGAGAGUUAAUGUAACAUGCAGUAGGGAACGUCAUUACAGUGACAAAGAAAAUGACGAGUACGACGUCGUAUCACUCUAAUUCGUCCAAAUAGAAGUAAAAAGUGAAAAACAAAUGCGGGAAAGAGAAUGGCGCUACACUUCAGCGCCAUUUUUUUGGGGGAAAAAAUCUAACAACUCCAAUGAACCCACUGAACUUUACUCUUUGUUCAUCCGAGUUCUCUCUCCUAAAAUCUUCAAUCACAUUAACUCUCUCUGAAAAAAGCCAAAAUCCUUCACCCCUCUAACAACCGAAUCCCUUGUUUCUUUCCCUUUCUUCUAUCCGAUUUUUAAUUCUCCCCAAUUUGAAGACAAAAAUGUAAUAUUUGAGAUCUGUCAGCCCGAAGUGCAACGGUGGAGGACGGUGUUCAUUGGAAAUCGCCAACAACUCUCAGGACUUGUUCUUCUACUUACAACAACAUCUGAAGGAAGAUUACUACCAGGUAACCUAUACAUUUUAGACAAAAUUAAUAACUUUUUUUUAUUACUCUAUUUCUUCUCCGGAGACGGCGUGGGACAUGGGGCAGGAGCAAGAUGGGUGACAGAGGGUAGCCCAGGCGGUGCCUUGCUAAAAAUUAUCACCCAACUCGACAUUCAUUUUGGGUGCUACUCUUUUUGCCCCCUAUAACUAAAAUUUUAAUUGGAUUCAUUCCUCUGCCACUCUUCGGCUGCCUCAGAGAACCUCGACUCUGGUAACAAAAUUGCCGUUCCUCAUUCCCUUCGCCGCCGUUAGACCCAGAAAAUUGGACCUUUUGUAACUGCAAAAGAAUGGUGCGAAUAGCUGAGGCUAGAAAAAUGAGAUCUUUAGGCUCAUCAUACGCUUGUUUGGAGUUUUUGAGUUAUCAAUCUCUACAAAGAUGCUUAGUCAGCGGAACUGCAAAAGGGAAAUCUAAAAUCAAAGGAUCACAGCCAUUGAAGAGAUCGAAGGUAACAACCAAUAAAGGAACUGGGUCGGGUGAUUCGAAUCAAAAAGAAGGUGGGCCUAGAAAAAAAUCUGAAUUUGAUGAAUUGGUCGACGAGUGCUUGGCUUUGACUUCCCCAAUCAGAUUCUUGAAGCAUAAGGAAAAAGCUAGGGAAGCUGAGAGAGAAAAGAUGGGGCUGAAAAGUAAGGUAAUGAUUACACUUGGUUGAUGAGUAUAGCAGGGUUCUGAUUACGCUGGGCUUGCCAAGGAGUAUAGCAGGGUUCUGAUGAGGAAGCAUAGAGCUAGACAGGCUGCUGAGUCUGCAUUCUUGAGGUGUAAGAAAGAAGCUAUUGAGGCUUACCCGAGGGUCUGAAGGCUGCUGCUUUGGUCCCCAAUUUGACACCCUUUCCGGCGAAUUGAUUUAUGGCCAAUUUUCACCUCCUAUUGAAGGGUAUAUCGAGAAGGUUAAGGCGGCAGCCAAGAGGAGUUCUGGCAAGGAAAAACUUAGAUGAUCGCUUGAAAUUUUUUUUAUUACUUUCUUUUUGGGUUUCUUUUUACUGCAUUUACUGUCUUCUUGCUGAAUUUUCUGGUUCUAUUUAUUUUAUGGUGCAUUUUCAAAUUUCACUUUCUUUACAAAUAUGUGCCUUCUCUUCUGGCUACAAGAAUUCUUGCUGUAAUUGAGUUUAUUGUGAAGAAGAGUGGCUUUUUAGUCAUCUUUGCACUAGUUCAUUGUCUGAAUGGUUAUCAAAUUACCCAGAAUGCUUUUACGCUAGGAUUUGUAGGUAGGACCUGAAUUCAUUUUACUAGUUCAUUGAUCCUGAUUUGUAUCUUGUUCUGUUAUUGAAGUAGCUUGAAAAUUUCUGUUAUUGAAGUAGCUUGAAAAUUUCUGUUAUUGAAGUAGCUUGAAAAUUUCUUGGACUGCAUAGUUGUUGACCCAUAAUGCAGUUGGUCUUUCUCCAACUUUUGAGACGCCAAUAUCUAUUAGGAAUAGCUGCCCAUAGGCCAUCCGACAACUUAACAGUUGGCUAGUACCUCAUGUGCCUUCCAGUACUAGUUUCUUUGCAAUAACUAGAAUAGGACUUUUUACUUGACCCUUUUGCGUGAGCUUGACUCCAGCCUUGUCACCCCAUUUUUCUUCUUUGGGAGCUCCAGGAUUUCCUAAAAUGGUUAGCAAUUAGGUGUUCUCUUUAAAUAUCUUCUGCCUUUGCUGCAAAACUUGACCAAAAUUGAAGUAGGUAAAUUGGCUUAGAACUUCCUACCACUAACAUUUGCAUCAUUGGUAUUGAACUUGAUAUAGAAUGCUCUGCCCAUAGGAUUCUAAUGCAAAGUGCAUCUUACAUACAUAGCAUAUAUCAAGUGGUGACUAAGUCAAGCUUAUUCCAUCAAUGCAGUUUCAAGUUUGUAGCGGCCAUCAUCUUCGAUUCCAUCUAGCAAGCACUGAUCGUUGAUUCCCUUUCCACUUGGAGCAAAUUGGAGUUGUUGGUAACCAAAAAUAUACAUUAUGUUUCUGCUACUCUUAGGUUGCCAAUACAUUAUAGUUCGAGGCAAUUAUUUCAAUUGUAUAGAAAUUCUAUUGCUGAUUAGUUGGGUUGCUAAUAUGUUGUCCAAGUUCUCUAUCUCAAAUUGAUAUUGGCUAUAUUAUUGGACUAAUUUUGAAUUCCGUAGACUGUUAUUCUUUUGUGCCUACCAUCUGUUCGAUAGUUUGUGUCUUACAAUCUGAAAUUGAACUUUUGCUAUCUUUCCUUUUGAUAUCAUAUUCUGUUUUGAUACUUUUGGAUUAGUUCUUAUUACUCAAAAGUCUAGAACACCUGGAUAUGUGAACAUUCUGUUUUGAACUGCCUAGAACACUUGGAUUAGUUCUUACAACAUAGUUUUGAUACUUUUGGUAGCUUUACUUUAGAAGAUAUUCCAUGAGUGAUUUGUGUCUUCUAUUAAUCCUGUUGAAAUUAGUUUUCUUAUCUAAGUAAAUGUUUCAUGCAAAAAUCAGUAAUAGUUUAGGUAGAAUUCUCUUGUAGAUGCUAAUGAGGCUUUUUUUCUUUUUAUAAUUAGAAUCUAUGUGAACAUGGAUAAAAGAUGGAUGAGUAUGUCACGAUCAAGUGAUGAGUAUAAAGCUGGUUUAGAAGAUUUUCUUGAUUUUGCAUUUACGAAUGGAAGUAUAGGGGAGAUGAUUUUAUGCCCAUGCAUUAGGUGCGGGAAUGGGGUAUUUGUCACGAGAGAGCAGGCCAAAUCACACUUGAUAUGGAAAGGGUUUAUUAAGGGAUAUACUCAAUGGUUAGCUCAUGGAGAGGUAUCUUCGAAUUUGCAUCAUACAUCUUCACAUUAUGACCUUUUUUAGAUGUUGCGUUCACAAAUGGUUUUCAUGAACAUGUUUGUAAUUGCUUUAUGUUAAUUGUGGAGAUUCUUGUUUUGGAUAUCAUUAUUGAUUGUAAUGGACUGCACUUUGGUUUUGGUAUUUGUUGUGGCUGUCAUUUUGGGUUGAUUCUUGUGGUAUUGUGAUUGAAUAUCUGUUCAAGACUUGCUCUCUUAUAUGUGGUUAUAUGUUUUAUAAAAUUUGUUUUUAAGGUUGGGGAUAAAGUUACAGUAAGAAGCAUGGUUGAUUCGAGCAAAAUUUGUGCUGUUGGAGUGGUUAGAAAUUUGGAUCCAACUUCUUAAGUUGGUGACACACCUUUGGGAUCACAUUGGUGUGAAAUCCAUGUGAAUGUGCCUGUGGAGAAUGAUGAAGAGCUAAUGAGGCCAUACCAUAAUUUUCGCAAGAUUGGAGAUGCAAUUGGAGUAGCUAUUGCUUGGCCAAUAAACCUGGUAAUCUUUUUAUCUUAUCUUUAUCAUUUGUUUAACUUAAUUUUUAUUUAUUUUCUAACAUUAAAACUGUAAAAGAAGAGCUGUAGAUGUGAUUGUAACUCCUAUUUCUUGGUUUAUGACACUUGUAGGUGAUUCUUGAAGAAAACUAAAGGAUCCUUGGGUCAAAUGGCUAUAUUUUGAAGACAUUGUCAAUGCGUUUUUUGUUGAGUUCUUGUUGAACUAUUGCUUCUUUGAUAUGUAUUGGCAAUACUACUGCAAUACUCAUAACUUUUGAAAAAUCUCUGAAUUGACAUGUAAUUUGUUGACAUAGUAGCCAUGUAAGUUACUUGGAUGAUGUACUUUUGCACCAGUUUGGCUGCUUGUAUUGCACUAAUUACUAUGAAAAUGUAAAUCACCUUGAUUUUCCUUUAUAAGAUGGUACUAAUAACUUUAUUAUUCCAAAAAUUAGAAUCUAUAUUGUGCAGGCAGGAUGAAAUGUGAUUCUGCUUUUGGGUAUAAAAAUCCGGAUGGUACACAGGGCUAAUGCAAUAUGAUGUAUUGACACUAAAAAGUGUCACCACUUCGAGUUUUGCAGUUCAUAAUAUUCACAAAUUUUCAUGUUAACAAGUGUCAGAACAACCUAAUCUAGUUACACCAUAAAAGUGUCAUAAUAUUUCAUUUUACUUAUACUGCAAAUGUGUCAUAAUAUCUUAUUGUACUUACACCAUAAAAGUGUAAUAAUAUUUCAUUUUACUUAUACUGCAAAUGUGUCAUAAUAUCUUAUUGUACUUACAUAAUAGAAGCGUCAUAAUAGAUCCAAUAUAUGACAGGCAUCGAGUGUCACUUUAGAUUCAUAUAACCUUACCUGUUCUCCAGCAUUUCUUGUCAUUUAAAAGUGUCAUUAAAACGAUAAAUAAUAACAUUUAUAAAUGCCAACAGAACUACAAAUUAGGACUCAUACAACUGUCAUAAACCUAUAGUGACGCUGGAAUGGACGACGUUUCUAGCAGAGCGUCAUCAUAGAUCAAACGUCAUUACAUCGAGCUAUAAUGACGCUUUUAAAUGUCGUAAAACGACAUUUUUGUAGUAGUGAGUUGCUUAGGAAGGUGGAUUGCUAUCUUGGAGUGGAGAGUUUUGGUGGUUCAAACAUCCUAGGGGUUGUUGUGCUUCUCCAAUUCUAGGUAAGGUUGGUAUUAGUUCAUGGUUGUACUACUUAUUGGUUUACAAGUAAAAGUUAUGGCUUGUUUAGGUAGAUUUCAUGAUUUUAGUAGUGGUUAUAGUAAAUUCCAGCUUUAUGGUGUAAGUUUCAGCUUGGUUGCGGAAUGGAUGGUUGUUCUUGGUGUUCAUGUGUAGUAAUGCUUAUACUUAGUUUAUGGAAGUAAAUUCAUGGUUAAACCUUGUUAGUUUUGUAGCAUAUAACAUUCAGCCAGCAUGAAGGGUUUGGAUUAGGGUUUUGGUUGAUGAACUUAUAUGUAAUCUUGUGUUAGUGAUGAAGCUAUCCUGCUUCUAACCUGUUUAAUUCAUCCAUGUUAGAGGCUGAAUCAGGCUUAGGUCAAAACAUAAAAGUUGUAGGAAAUGAUGUUAACUAGCUGCCUACAAAAUUUCGGCUCAAUCGUAGCACUGUAUCAUGUGAAAUGACAAAAAUACCCUGACUGCCAAGUGCCCUAUUUCGCGGACAGUUUUGAGAUUUCACAUAUUUUGGCUUCAUUUUUCACUUUGAUCCGUAUCAAAUCAACCUUUGGCCAAAACAUAAAAAUUCUAGCCCUAUGUUUUAGUUUUCCAACGCAUCUGAAAACGCCUCAAUCGGAAUUUUGUAGUUUGAGUUAUUGCCAUUUAAAUCCAGUGCUGACAACCAGACUAACAAUGAAAUUCUGGUUCUGUAAUCUGCAAAUUCGACCUAGAUCAACUUUGAACUGGGUUGACUUGUCUUCAUGAAAGUUGUAACGCCUUGUCUUAGCUUCGAAACGGUAUAAAUUUUAUACCAAUCCGAUAAAUGUAGCUUCAGUUGUGAUUGAAACGCCAAGAGACAUCAAACCUGCUAUUUAGCUUUUAUCCUUAAAACUUGGUUUCCGGUUGCAUUGUUAGAUUUGUGUGGUAAUUGAAUGACAUUAAGCCUAGUUGUAGGGCUAUUGUGAUAACAUUGCUUAUAUGUGACUUUGGGCUGAAUUGAGAAAAAAUAAUGAAGUCAUAAAUGGUUGGAAAAUAGCUAAAUACAAAGGGUAUGCCGCCUAAAUUUUUACUCGAGAACUAGACGUGUUUACUUGUGAUUUGAGCGAAGAGUUGAGGUUGAAUUGAACUUGCAUUGUCUAGGUUAUUCGAGUCCUCUUUCGUAGAGGUAUAUAAGCUAGAAUUUGGUCAAAAUUUGUACCCUUGGAAAUGAAAGUAACGACUAAUAGAAAUACGUUUUCCUCGUCUUUUGACUCAAAUGAGAAUUCCAAAGUUUUAAUCGCUUCCUUACCAAAACUAAAAGAGCGAGCAUGAGUUUUCUAGGAUGUGACAAGUAAUAUGAAUAUUAUCCAAAUGAGUUUCAAUUACUUGAUUUUCGUUAAACGAAACGCUUAAGUUUCGAAACUUAGUUAAUUUCAAAACUCUUAAACGAUGUUUUAUCGCAGAUUUGGACUCCAAUGAAGGAGUUACACUUGAGCGUGAUUUUGACAAGUACUAAAUCUUUGGUGAGUGCUUCCAAAUACAUGAUUAAAUUUGGUAUUUGAUUUACCAACGUGAUCGGAUAACAUUUGCUUGGUUUGGUCGGGCAAGUGUGUAUUUUAGCGCACUUGACCUAACUCAACUAAAUAUUUGAUAUCUCAUUCAUGCUUGUACAAAUGACUUGAUUUGCAUUGACCUGUAAUUGUAUUUGUUUUUGUGCUUGACUUGUAAGUGUUGAGCGGCAGUAUCUACCACACUCGAUAUGAGUGGGAGGUACCUCUCAUUCCCGUCUCCGUACUUUUCUCUUGACUAAGUCGAUUGGUCAUCGACUAUAUUGACUACUUGAGAACCCAAACCCCACUGACUAGUUAAUCGAGUCGAGCCGACAAGGAUUUGGUCGAUUAGAUAACAAAUCAUAGGUAUUUAGUAUUAUCGAGUGGAGUGUUAUCUUCUCGACUAAUCGGUAUGCUCGAAUAUUACCACUAGUAUUUAGUUGGUGUUCGAACCCGGUAAGGGGGUUGAAUGGUUGACGGAUUGGUGUUAAGCGAAGCACUACUGGAUUGGUUACUUUACUUGAAGGUUGAGGAGUGUCAACUAAUACUUGAUCAAGCUCUGGUGAAGCAAUGGAAAAUUGGCUCCUGAGAGCCAUCUGUAUCCUUAUACUUUGAUUGUUAUUUGUAGUAUUCUUGUUUCUUUUAGAAAAGAAUUUUACACUCGCUCAUUUUGAGAUUUGCUAUUUGAAGUGUUAUUGCUCACUUUUAUGGACUGGUUAUACUCGCUACUUUGUUACUUUGGUACAUGAACUUUUAAAUAAUGGUCAACUUGCUAUUUGAAACCUCAUUGAAUUUUUAGCUCAUUCUACCCCAUUUAUUUUCCUUACAGGAGAUACGAGUGAGGCGUGAGAGGGGCACAGGCUAGCAGAGUCUAGUUUUUGGAAAUUUUGUGAUUGUACUCGCACUAGUCGCUCAAUCAGGGUUGAAUGUAUUGAGAACUUAAAUCUUGUGAUAUAUUUGGGAUUGUACAAAUGCUUUGAAUCGAAAUAAAUGUACAUGUACGUUCCAAGUUUGGGAACUGUUAUUUCCUUUACUCUUGAGGUUGUAACUUAUUUUAUUUGAAGUGAGUGAGUGAGUGAGUGGGUUCUGACGAGAGUUGGGCAGGCGGUCCGCUAAACUCUGGGGUACGUCUGAUAAGAGUAUAUUUUACGUAUUUUUAGUGUGCUUUAUUAAUUAGUUUUGGUGUGUUUUAUUUAGUUUUAUAAAUAAUUAACUAAGAUUCUAGUGAAAAUAUUCAUUUUGUGGUUAAAGUGUGAAAAUUGUAUUUCUAUUGAUUUUUAUGGUAAAAACUUCAUAUUUUGUAGGUUUAAUGAUUCAAUCAUCAAAUGAAGUGCAUUGAGAAGAUAUUUGGAUGAUUGAAGAUGGAUUAAAGUGGUGAAAAUAAAAUAUGAAGUGUAAAAGGAAAAAUGUAAUUUGAAUCAAGAAAAGUCGCUUUGACAACUCUAACACGUUUUGGCAUUUUAACUAUAUCUGGAGCUACACAGAUUGGAUUGAGGUGAUCUUUAUACCAUUUUGAAUCUAAGAGACGUAUCUACAUUUGGUAUGAAGACAUCAAAGUCCAAUUCAGCCAUUUUCAUAGUCCAAAAGUUGAAAUACCAAAAUUCAACUCAGUUGAUUUGAGAACAAAAGAAUCAAACAAAAGUCAGCUUUGGCAUCUGUUGGUAUUUUGGCUAUAUCUUGGGCUACAUACAUUGGAUUGAGAUGAUCUUUAUAUCAUUUUGAAGCUAAGAGACAGAUCUACAUUUGGUAUGAAGACAUCAAAGUCCAAUUCGGCUGUUUUCCUGGUCAAAAUGUCGAAAUACAGAAGUAAAAGUCUGCUGCUGAGAGCUGAAAACGCGAAAUUGACCAAUCUUUGAUAUUUUGGUCAUAUCUCGGUCUAGAGAGAUCCAAAUUGGAUGAUUCUUGAGGCAUUGGACAGCUAUUUCAAUGGACUACAACUUCUAUGUUUUGUACAAGAGCUAAUUCAGCCGCAAUCAUAGAGAAAAUAGCAGUUGAAGUAGCCAGAUUUUGAUCAGAAAUAGCUGCUCUCCAUUGGUACAACCUGUUUUCUCCUUCAAUAAUUUACAGCUAUGGAUGAACGUAUGACAACCAAUUAGCAGCUGUAAAAAGGAUGUUUCAAGCCUCAUUUCCUGAUUGCAUUCACCUAUAUAUAGCCAUGGACUUGCAAGAUUCAAAAUAACUGGACAAGGCUAGGAAAACUCACCAAAAAUGUAGUCUUCACUAGUUUUUCUUAGUUCAUUAAUAUAGUAUAGGUAGAAUAGUUUAUCCUUCUUAUAUUUGUAGUUAGAUUUGGAGAAAGAUUGGAGGAGCAAAGAUGGAGAGUUUGAAGCUCAUGUGACAAGGGUGACUUCUUUCUUAUCACUUUCUCUUUUGUAUUUGAAUUCGUGUUUAACUAUAAUACAAGUUUGGUGUUUGUUUUUAUCAUGUUUAGUUAAAAUUUAUGCCUAGAGUAUGGAUAAACUUUCUACAUCUUGUUUAUGUUCUUUACUUGGUUAUUUGGUGAUAUUAUUUUGAGCAAGUUAUUUAUCACUUUUGAUAUUCUAAUCAUAAUUAAUCGGCCAUUAGUUGUGAUUAUCUAAGGUGUUAAAUUUGCAAUGAGAAUUGGAAUUUAACACUAGUUGAAGGAAGUGAUAAACAUAGGGAGUUCACUCACGAAAGUAGAGGUGCACCUAUGUGGUUUAAGUGACUUGUUUCAUGUAAUUUCAUAGAAGAAAUGAACUUGUAGUUAAUUUCAUAACCACGAGAGUAGGUAUGGCUUAAUUACAAGUAUAGUUGAUUCACUACGAGAGUAGGUUUCACAUGCAUUAGGAAAUUACGCCAUAACUAGUCAAGAUAAUAGCAUUUACUUAACCGGUAAUCUCAUUUGCAAGAGUAGUGAGGAAUUCCAUAUUUCUAGGAGUUUUUUAGUGUUAUUUUCAUUACUUUCAUAUUUAUGGUAGUCUAGAUAAUAAAGGAGUUCAAAAAACACCGGUAAUUGCAAUCUUUCCUGUGGGAUCGACCCUUAAUACCCUAUACUCGCUCAUGAUUCGUAUACUUGCGAUAAAUCGCGUGUGAGGUAUUUAGGAGUUAUAAAUGUAAAACUUGAUUGUGGAUGAGCUAAUUGUGCAUAUAUACCCCGCGCACGUUAACGUCCUAGGGAGAGGUGGGGUCGUCACAUGAGUAAUGUAUAAUGGGCUGUUAUGCACAGGAAAAUUAUUGAUAAUAUUGGAAAGUUGAUUGGCCAGAGUAUUUGCCAACAUUUCGCUAAUGAAAUUAGAGCUAAUGUACUAUGAAAAAAGUUAGAAAGUAUGUACGAAAGGAAAACCAAUUUAAAUAAAGUUGCCUAUCUGAAGCAGAUUACUCGAAUGAGAUACGAAGAUAGUGCAUAUAUGACUGAGCAUCCGAAUAAUUUUUAGGGCUUGAUAAAUCAUGCAGCUACAUUAAACUUGAACUUGGAUGAUGAGGUGCUGGCUUUGCUAUUGUUCAAUUCACCGUCAGAUAGAUAGGAGACAAUGGUGGUUUCGGCCAGUAAUUUAGUUCUAAAUGGUGUGUUGACCAUGGAUAUAGCAAAAAACGCUGUAAUGAAUGAAGAACUCAGGAGGAAGGAACAAGGAAUUGUGAAUGAAUCCCAAACCCUGGUGACAGAAAAGAAAGAAGGAAGAGGGAGAAGCAAAAGUAGAGAACCCCACAAUAGGAAUGAUUAAUCCAGAGGCAGGCCUAAGUCACGAAAAAAUGAUGCAUACUUUUAUUGCAAAAAGAAGGGGAAUUAUAUGAAAGAGUACAGGAUCUUAAAAUGGGAACAAGUUUAAAAAAAAAAAAGUAAGACGAAGGAAAAAGAUAAUGAAGAGACCAUAGCAAUUGUGGUAGUUCAUGAUGACAUGUUUGUGUUCUGUGAUAAUGGUCAUGUGAACAUUACUUGUCAUAACAGUGAUUGGGUAGUUAAUUUGGGUGCAUCCUACUAUGUUACUUCUCACAGACAUUUCUUCUCAACCUAUACCGAAGAAGACUUUGGUUAUGUUAGGAUAGGAAAUGAGGUCUCGUGCAAACUUGUUGGCAUAGGAGACAUAUUUGGAUACAAAUACCGAAUACCAGCUGGUCUUGAGAAAUGCUUGAUAUGUUGCUGAUAUUCACCUUAAUCUUGUUUUUAUAGGAAAGUUUGAUGAUGAGAGCUACCAUAACUUGCAAGAUGGAGACAAAUGGAAACUCGGUGAAGGAAAUCUCGUUAUUGCUAGGGGAAAGAAGUAGAGUACCCUUUGCUUCAUGCAAGCCAAGUUAGGAAGGGAGAAGUGAAUGUAGUUCGUGAUUCCUUCAUUGACCUUUGGCAUAAAUGACUUGGCCACAUGAGUGAAAAGGAGAUUCAGAUACUUGUUUACAAGCAACUUCUACCUGAAGUUAGAGGUAAUGCACUCAAACCUUGUGUUAACUGCAUUUAUGGGAAACAACAUAGAGUUGCAUUUCAAAAUUUUUUUCUAUCUAGAAAAUUGAAUCCAUUAAAGUUGGUGCACACUGAUAUCUGCUAUACGAAAGAUAGGUCUCUUGAUGAUACUCUUUAUUUUAUAACUUUUAUUGAUGACUUUUUAUAGAAAAAUUUGGUGUUUUGCUUUAAAAUCCAAAGAUCAAGUUUUUGAUAUGUUCAAAGAUUUUCAUAGCAAACUUGACAGGGAGACUGGCAAGCAGUUAAAGUGUGUUUGUGCCAACAAUGGUGGUGAGUACAAGGGAUCAUUUGAAAGCUACUGCAAGUUCUAUGGGAUUAGACUAGAAAAGACAGUAUUAAAAACUCUUCAAGAAAAUGGAGUAACAAAAAGGAUGAACAAAUCCAUCACUAAGCGGGUUAGAUGUAUGUUCUCCAAUGCUAAACUGCCAAAAUCCUAUUGGGGUGAGACAAUGAGGACUACUAUUGAUUUGAUUAAUCUUUUUCCAUUAAUUCAUUUGAAUAGUGAUAUCCUAGAGAGAGUAUGAAUCGGGAAAGAUGUGUCCUUUAAACGCUUGAGAGUUUUUUGUUACCGAAUAUUUGUUCAUAUUCCCAAAAAUGAGAUGUCAAAACUUGAUGUGAAAUCAAAUUAGUAUAUUUUCUUGGGUUAUGGGCAUGAAGAUUUUGGUUAUCAACUGUAUGAUCUUGUUGAAAAUAAAGUAAUUAGAAGUAGAGAUAUUGUCUUCUUUGAAGAUCAAACCAUUGAGGACAUCAACAAAAAUGACAAGUCAAGAUCCUUAGAUGACAUUCUUGCUAAUUCAAAUCCAGAUUCAGUUCCAAUACCAGUUAAUUUUGAUCAUGGGAAAGUUGAAACUGAACAGAGAGAGGAUAUUGAUGAAAAUGAUACUGCUACUGAUGAACAAAAUGAGCCUAAGAGAUCUACUAGAGAGAGAAGACCUUCUAGUGGAUAUAAUCUUAAUGACUAUGUGUUACUGACAAAUGGAGGAGAAUUAUAGUCCUACAGUGAGUCUCUAGAGUGUGAGAGAAAAGAAGAUUGGUUGCAAGUUAUGCAAGAGGAAAUGAUGUCUUUAUAUGAGAAUCAAACUUAUAACCUGGUGAAACUGCAUAAGAGCAAGAGUACUAAAAAAUAAAUAGAUUUAUAGGUUGAAGACUCAAGAGAAAAGCUUACAACCAAAGUACAAGGCAAGAUUGGUUGUGAAGGGGUUCAGUCAGAAGAAAGAUAUAGAUUUUGAAAAAUUUUUCUCUCCUAUGAUAAAUAUGUCGUCAAUUUGGGUUGUUCUUGGUAUUGUGGUCAGCUUGAAUUGGAGAUUGAACAACUUGAUGUGAAGACAACCUUUCUAUAUGGUGAUUUGAAAAAAGAAAUUUAUAUGAAACAACUGGAGGGGUUCAAAGAAAGUGGCCUUAUAUACCUUCUAAGAAAGAGUUUGUAUGGAUUGAAACAGGUGCCAAGAUAGUGGUACAAGAAAUUUGACUCCUUCAUGAUGGACCAUGAGUACCAUAGGACUACAUCUGAUCAUUGUGUUUAUGUGAAGAAUUUUUCUGAUGGUGAUUUUAUUAUUCUCUUGCUAUAUGUUGAUGACAUGUUGAUUGUUGGUCGUGACGCUAUGAAGAUUGACAGGCUAAAAAAGGAUUUAAGUAAAUCCUUUACAAUGAAAGAUAUGGGUCUAGCUAGACAGAUUCUUGGGAUGAAAAUCUCUCGGAAUAGGCAAAAUGAAAAACUUUGGUAGUUUCAAAAAAAGUACAUUAACCAGGUACUUGAUAGGUUUAAUAUGAGCAAAACUAAGGAAGUUACUAUACCACUUGCGGAUCACUUCAGACUAAGUAUCAAGCAGUAUCCUACAAGUGAGAAAGACAAAGAAGACAUGAAAAAGGUUUCUUAUGCAUUGGUUGUUAGUAGUUUGACAUAUGCAAUGGUUUGCACCAGGUCAGAUAUUGCCCAUGUAGUUGGAGUAGUUAGCCGGUAUCUUUCCAAUCCUGGUAAGAAGCAUCGGAAUGCUGUCAAGUGAAUCCUCAGGUAUCUCAAGGGAAUUUUUAAAUUGUGUUUGUGUUUCGACAAUGGUAAAAUUAUGUUAGAUGGGGACACCGAUGCAGAUAUGACAGGUGAUCUCGAUAAUAGAAAUUUCAUAUCCGGGUACUUGAUGAUUUUUGCAAGGAGAGCAGUGUCAUGGCAAAGUAAGUUAUAAAAGUGUAUCGCUCUUUCCAAUACGGAGGCAGAGUAUAUUGUAGCCACUGAAGCAUGUAAGGAGACUUUUUAGUUGCAAAAAUUUCUUCAAGAGUUUGGUAUGAAGCAAAAGAAGUACAGUCAUCGCUGUGAUAGUCAGAGUGCCAUUCAUUUGUAUAAGAAUUCUAUAAUUCACUCUUGAUCCAAGAGCAUUGAUAUGAGGUAUCAUUGGAUUCGGGAUGUGUUUGAUUCCAAGUUAUUGACACUUAAAAAAGUUCACACUAAUGACAAUGGUACUAAUAUGCUGACCAAGGCAUUACCCAGGAAGAAACUCUUACUUUGCAGACAGGAAGCAGGUUUAGUGGAACCCGCCAAAUGAGUUAGAGAGGCAAACUGUUGGGCUUGGUCCUCCUCAUUUGGUGGCCCACAAAACAAAAGCCCAUUAGGUUUAAGUCAAUUGACUUGGAAAACCAAUGAUUAGUACUAGUAGCUGUGGACUUCUUUCUUGAAAACGGAAAUAUAAGCUUCACGCGCAAUUAAUUAAUAAAUCAAUGUAAGGUUCAUCAACUAUGAGCAAAGAUAAAAGCUAGCCGCCAACCUUUGAAAAGAAACGAAGAGAGAGAAAAUUGGGGAGAGAAACAACUUUAAGGCCUUGAUCGAAUGGUGAUUCGAAACCUGAUUGAUACAAAAUUUUAACCAUACAAUUCUCUCAUCAAGCUCUACCAAUCUACUGGUUCGAAUUUUGGAUUUCCUUUUCAUUUGGUAACACCCUUCCAAACCCACUUUUUUGACAGUUGUGGUUUUUGGGAGAUGAUUUUGUAACAAUUUUGCUUGGUUAAUGUUGGUGAUGUUAUUAUCAUCCGAAUACUCCAGGUAGACUUGUGUAUUCCUAAUACUGUGAUAGUGGAGGUUUUUUGACUAGACUAGAUCUCAUGGUUUUUCUUAAUUUGGGUUUUUGACAUUAAAAAUCUUGGUGUACUAUGCCUUUUAUUUUUCCUACUUUUAUUAUCACUGUUGACAUUGUUGUUUGGUGAUUGAUUAUAUUUAUUCCUAUAUUUAACUGGUACUUAGAGAAAGAGUAAUUUGUUCUGAGUUAACUCUAAUAUUGUAUUGUUUUUACUCAAGUUUGAGUUGAAUAAAUAGGGUUUUAAUUGGAUUUUCCUUUAAGAGGUUAAAGUGUUGGAAUAUUGCAUUUUUAUGAACUAAGCAGUGAAAUUUAAUGUUUUGUAGAUUUUAAUGAUUCAAGCAUCAAUUCGAAUGAAUUGAGAAGUUAUUUGGAUGAUUCUUUACAACUUGAAGUGGUUUUCAAGUGUAUAUGAAGUGCAAAUGAUGACUUGAAGUGCUUUUCCAAAUGACUUGAUCUUGAUCCAUUAGAAAGCUAACUCAAUGGUUUCAACUUUUGUGUUUCACACAAAAGCUGAUUCAAAGUUCUUCAUUGAGAUAUUUACAUAUCAAAUCAGUGGCGAUGGUAAAACAGGAUCUUGAUUAGAGUAAGGUGAAUCCAUAGAUGAAUUCUAAUAUACAUGAAUGGAUUCUAUCCACAAAUUCAAGGCAAAAACUUCAUCUCAGAAACCAAAAACAAAGCAAGCAAUCCGUCCACGGAUUAUUUACAAUCCAUUCACAUAUUCUGGGUGGUUGCAACUUGUCAAUGUAUACAACUUGCUCCAUUAUUGCUUCCUUUCUUCUUCCCUAUAAAAAGGGACCCCCAUGGAUGACUUUUGUAGCUGGAUGACUUUUGUAGCUGGAAAAUGAAGGAAAACAACCACAAAAAUAGCUUUUAACUAAAAAACUCCUUAGUUCUUAGGUUAGAUUAGGUUAGUGUAGCAUUAGAUUAGUCCAUCCACUCUUAUAUUUAGCUAAUCUUGGAUGAAGAUUGAGGAUGAAGGAGGGAGAGUUGGGAGACCCGUAUGAAAAGGGUUCUUUUCUUUAACUCUUGAUUUCUUGCAUUUGGAUUCUAAUGUUUGGCUAUAAUACAAGUUUAGAUCUUGUUUUCAUGUGCUUUAUACUUUGCUAAGUUUCAUGCCUUGGGUUUAGAUGAACUAUCUAUAAUUGUUAUGUGAUAUUUUUUUGGUUAUUUGGUACUAUUAUUUUGAGCAAGUUAUUUAACACUUUUGUUAUGUUAAUCAUGAUUGAACUAGCCAUUAAUUGUGAUUAUCUGAAGGUAUUGGAUUAUCAAUGUGUGUUGUGAUUCAAUGUUAGUUUGAGAAAGUGUUAAAUUUAGAGAGUACACUCACCAAGAUAGAGGUGCAACUUUGUACCUUGUUUGUAUAGUAAUUUUAUAGAAUUUCAUGAGCUUGCAGUUGAAGUUAUAAUCACGAAAGUAGGUAUAAAUUAACUAUAGGUAAGGUUGGUCGGUGAAAGUAGGUAUCACGUAUAUUAGAUAAUUAUGCCAUAACUUGUCAAGGUAGUAACGCACAGUUAAUCUGAAAAAUUCUAUAGCAGGAGUAGUUAGGAAUUCCAUUACUUUAGAAGCUUUUUAUUGUAUCUUUUACUUCAUUUUAGUAUAUGUUUGUAGUGUAGUUUACUUUACUUGCACUUGGAAUCGUCUAAAUAAUAAAAGAGUUUAAAUAGUAUCGAUAACUGAUCACUCUUCCUGAUGAUCGACACUUGAAUGCUUGCUUUACUUGUAUACAACCUAUAUACUUGUAGUAACUGCAACUUAAGUGUAACUAAAACUCCACGUCAGAUAUUACAAAGCACGGCAAGUGUAUGUGCCAUGUGUAUUUUGUAUGUUAUAGAAAGUAUAGGUUUAAACAGCUAUGCUGCUGAGUGUAUGAGAAUUUUCAACUCUCUUUACAAGUAGAUCAUAUGUUUAAAUGGACUAUUAAUACCUCACAAGUUUUGCACGUCAUUAUGUUGUCCCAAAAAUUUUAUAUUUUUCAAUACUAAAAUAUUUUGACAAAUGCUAAUGGUUAACAUCAUAAGAUUUUUUCUUUUUCUUUGAAAGUGGAUUUUUAAAAAUAUCAUUUUAUAUUGAAACAAUGAAUCUAAUAUUUGUCAAAAUAGUUUUUGGGCAUUUUAGAUAAUAUUGAUACCCAUAAUGUCAUUACAUAAAAUCAUUAUAUUAUGAUCUGUUACAAACAAAAUAAUACUGUUAAACAAGGACAAUACCUUGAGACAUUAAAAACUAGAGCAACCAAUAGAGGUUAUAAUAGGUUGAUCAUUUAUAACUUGAAUAUAGGACCAUUUUCUUUUUUAAAAAUUUGAUUGACUUGAAUUUUCAUGCCAAGUAAAACUUAUGUCUUUGUAUUGAUGUUGUUCACAUGCUUUACUAUACCAAUUUCUGAUGUUGUAUGAGUUGAAUUUGAUAGUUGAAAUUGUUUUAAAAAAAUGAGAUGCCCCUAUUCUUUAAUUAAGUAAAUAUGACUUCUUUGAAUAUGAAAUUUCUGUAUUCUUUCAAGUAUUAUGUUUGUUAAUCAUGGGAUGUAAAUAUUUCACCAUAAUUAUUCCUAGUUUGUUGUUGAUUUUUAUAGGCUAAUUAAAAUUUUAUUAGCAGAUGUGAUGAGUUUAUCCUUUUUUAUUCUUUUCAUUUAUUCUUGUUUGUAUUUUUUUUAUUCUUUCUUUUUCUUUUAAUUUGAUUUCUAGUUUUUAUUCUUUUAUUUGUAUUUUCUUGGUAUUUGUAAUUAUAAAUCUAUUUCAAUAGUAUUAUUAAUAUUUUUGACCAAUCAUGACUAGGUAAAGAGCUUUGAUUAAAACGUUUUUCAAAUUUAUUACCAUUAUAAUACAAAUAUAACGGACCGUGGUCUUAUAUUAAUAAUUGUUACCAUAAAUGAAAUACAAUAAAUUACAUAAUAAAAGAAGGAGGGCAUAAUAAAGAGUACAAAACUAAGACAAUAUUGUGUUUACACUCCAAAGUACCAAAACUCACCAUAUAAUAGGAAUAAUAAUAAUAAUAAUUAGUGAUAAUGACAAUGAGAAUGAGAAUGAUAAUGAUGUUACCCAAAUAAUAAAAUCUACAAGCUUUGAUUCACAGGUAUAACUUUGUAGUUUAGGCUAUCUAAAUUGUCUGGCACUUAUAAUAUAGUACUGUGUAGAUUAUUGGAUGUUAAAUUUUCAAGACUAAAUGAUAAAAAUGCCAUAUAUGGAUCGAAUAAAUUUAUCCCUUCACCAGAUGACAGGUUUACCUGGAAGGGCAGUCCUUAAUUUCUUAGUUUCUUGUAAUUUUAUGGAAAAAGAAGAGGAUACUUUCCAUAUCAGUUCUUGGUGUCCAUUCUUUUCUUGGAAUUGCAUUUUCAUUGUGAUUGUCAAUACUUAGCAAAAGUGCAUGCUUCUGUCAAAGAUGGAGAGCAUGAUUUUGUAGUAGGGUAUAAUAUCCUCCAACAAAAUUUGAGGUGCUGUUAUUGUAUUGAUUAGAGUAGUCAAGAAGGAGAAAUUAAUAUCACAUCAAAUGGCAAAGGCUAUCAAUUUGACAAGCCAUCUACCAUUUUAACCUGACUGUACAAUUUCACCUUUCAUGGCAAGCGAGACAGAUGCAAGGCAGCCCCCAGUUUCCACUCUAACUCCUGGCAUUGCAACUGCUCUACUUCCAACAAAUCCACCUUCCCCAACCUCAAUCUUUCCAAACUUGAUCAUCCCUCCUUCUCCAUCAUAGAUGUGUCCAAACAGCAGAGCUUCCUUUCCCACACUGCCCCCUCUCUCUAUCUCUACCAUUUCAGGGUUCAACAAAGCUCCCAUGCUAUCUACAUAAACACCUUGGCUUAACUCAAUGUUUGAUCCCAUGAGCUUCAUCCAAAGCGCAAACAAAAUUGACCCUCCUGUCAUUUCCAUGAAAUAUUCCCCUACUAAUAACCUAAAUGCUUGCCAUAUUGUGUCUGCGAAAACACUUCUGCUCCACAAUCCAGCAGUUCCUCCAUCUUUCUUCUUUCCAACCAAAAUCCAUUUGGCAAAGACUGAAGCCAAUGCUACCAAUAAUCCUGAAAAUACCCAAAACAAAGGAAGCAUCCAAUGCAAUGGAUAGUUUUUGGUUGUCUUUGUAUCAAGCAAGAAGUUUAGAGGAGCACAAACAACAUAUGCCAAUAGAUAAUAAGGCAAAAAUGUCUGUAGCAAUGGUUGAGCCAAAGUAGCCCAAACACUCUGGUACCAAGUCCUCUGCAGAGUCACUUUGUCAGAUUCUGUUUUGUUUAAUGCUGCUGCAACUGGACAACCGGAGAGGUCCACUUUGACAUCUGAUUGUUCUAUGAAAGUCCUCCAAGCCUCUGGAAGUGGUUCGCCAUUUCUCAAGUGCUGGCAAAUCUCAUAAAUCAAUGACCGGCCAUGAUCAAUUGAAGCACUUUGGCUGGCUGAGCUAGCCCGGAUGACAUCAACCUCAUUGCAUCGGAGAAAAGGGUUGAACUCUAACUCCUCUGCCUGUUCCUUGGAAAGAUUUUGAUCGAUCGUUAUCUCCCCAACAUCGAUGCAUGGAUAUUCUGUCUCAUCCCACGGUUUGGUGCAAUCAAGUGCAUUAUCUUGUGACACUUCAUCAGAUGGUACAGGACGGAACUGUAAUUGGAAAAUGUAGUGAACACCGCCUGGAGAACUCACACGUUGCUGGAAAUCAUCAGCAAGAAAAAGUAAUGGGCGUUUGUCACUACUGUCCCUUGGAAUUGCACCUGUUUCUGGAGGGAGGAUUCCAAUUGGGUCAACCUUUCCAGAAUCUUCAGUGACGCUUUCAUCGAAAGGGCGCAACUUGAAUUUAACAUACAUUUCCUGUCCAUCUGUAAACCUUAAUAGCCUGCAUAUAUUUGAGUAGUAAUGGAGCUUGGUAUAUGAAUCUGCAUUGCGCAGGGACAUCCAAACUGCAUCACGAACAUGGGGAACACGCUUUACAUGCUCCUCUCUUGCAGCUAGCCCGCAUACAAGCCAAGUUGCAAAAUCUGAAAUAGUGCGAGCAUAAAAUGCUUUGCCUGUUUUCAACGUUAAAUCCAGGAGUGGUGUUUCAAUGUUUGCAUUGUCUGAGAAUAUUCUUAGAGACGCACCACGCGCAUCAAUUCUUGCAUCAUCAUCAGCAGUUAAGCUAUUGCUAUGCCUGAUAAUAAUGGGAUAACUCUUUCCAGGAUGGAAGAUCUUGUGAUCUGGCAACCCUGUGAUGUUAUCAUACAUUCUCAGAACUCCCCUGCCACCGACGCCAAUGCGAUGGAAGUAUCUUGUUCUAACCUUAAGUGUUGUUGCAGCCAAAUUUGCCGCCAGAUUCCCCACGAUCUUUUUGUAUUUUAUGUCCAUCUCCUCUAUGCGCUCAUCUAAGGCUUGAAGUCUGUUCUUGAUCAUGACAGGAUUUUGUGAUCCGACAUAUACACCUCCUCUCUGAAGCACGGAAUUUUCUGGAGCAACUGAAAGUGCACCGAGAAUCACAUCCUUUUGGAUGAUGGAACCAGGAAGAGCAAUGCUGUGACUUCCAAUAACAGCAUUAUCCUGCACAUCAACUUUUCCACGGCUAAUCCCUUUAGAGGAAUAGUACCUGGUAAUAAUUCUGCUAAAGUCCCCCAAAUGGACACCUGCACCAAGUGAAAGAAGUUUGGGCUCUGAAACUGGAUUUAUGGCUCUGAUGGAACAAUAUUUUCCUACUUUUGCACCCAAAAGUCUCAAAUAGAUACAGAAAGCCUCAGUUCCAGAAAGUAAUUUGGCAAAUCUAAGAUGGCAGGCAACUAUAAUACGGUGUUGGAGCCAAGUAUGUAGGUGGGAUUUUUUGUUUUCCUUGUUUCUGGAGAGGAAAAAGGUCAAGGAGCUGGUGAGGAAGAUGUUUAUCAAGCCAUGAGCCAAGUAAGCAGUGGCAACUAAAGUAGCAAAUGUAACUGGACUUGCACUUUGGCUGGCAAUCAUUGUGGCAUAUGCAACUAUGGCUAAUGGGAACCAAUGAAAAGCUCCAGUUAUACAGAAGAAUGCAAAGUUAUCAAUGGAAAGAGGCUUCUGUGAAAUUCCAAUAUGGAGGAAAUAAAGGACUGCUGCUGAGAUUGUGCUGAUGAAGCCAACCAUGUAGAUGCCCAUGAGGUGGUAAAUGGCCUGACUUUCAUUAUCUUCUAUUGCAUCUGACCUUUCUGUGACCUGAAACAUUACUCUCAUAAGUAUUUGAUGUUUAGCAUAUUUGACUACUUUAACUGCAAGAGUCACACAUGAAAGUAUUCAAGUCACUUAACAUUGUUGCUUAACAAUUUCAGAAGAUGGGUUAAAUUAUGUAAUAAUCAUAUUGCACAUUGACUUUAGUAUCUAUGGAAAGUUUAAACAGACGAAAAAGCUGAAAUGUGCAACCAAAAAGAGAUUAUGUUACAGAGCACUCCUUGAAUCAUAUCUUUAAAUGAAACUAAAACUAUUGACUGCAUUUUUCUGUCUUCUUAUCAUGUUAUUUGAUUUAAUUAGAUGUUAAUUUUUGUGGGACUUUAUGUGAUAGUGGAAAUGUUAUUUUUCAAUCAAGCGAUAUAGUAAAGAUAGAAAUGAAACUGCUGCUUCAAUUGAUUGAUCUUUUUGCAAAAUCAACACAUUCAGACUUCCUACUGCAUUUUUAGUCAAGGUAAAAGCAUUAAUACUGGCAUUCUUGUUAGCUUCUCAAGAAUGUUGAUGUAACAGAAAUGGUAUAAAUGGGAGGUUAGGAUUUCAUACCUUAGGAAAAUUGGCCUUGCAUGAUCUGGGGACUCGGUCUCCUGCUUCAGUCUUUUGUGAGGCUAGGACUUCACUCCUUUCACCUAGAACACUUCCUUUCUGAAUUACAGCAUAAGGCCCAAUGGACGAACUUUUGCCUAUUCUAAUUGGAAGUAAACUCAAGAUCCCAUUCUUAACUUCAUGGCUUUGAAUUAAAGCUCCUUCAGCAAUUACAGUUCCAUCUCCAAUUGAGACUAGAGCGGGGUCAGUGAUAUCAACAGUGUCAAGUAAAACUGAUGAUCCUAUCUUUGCUCCCAGUAUCUGAAACCAGUACUUUAGGAACACAGUCCCUCUCAGAUGCACAGCCAUAGUUUUUGAUGAGACUUCUUGGACCUUGUACAACGCCCACCACUUAACAAAAUCCACUGUCCAGAUGGAAAUCUCAGGUUUCAAGGCGUAGUUUGGUUGCAGGAAUGAAUUUCCAAACAAUGAAAUAGAGAUACAGGUUGCGAAGAUGCAAAAGAUCCAACUGAGAGGCGCAAAUGCUAGAGAUAUCACAUAACUCGGCCAUGAAGCUGUAUGGCUGAAAACCAAAUUCUUGAAGACAGAAAUUGAGAUAUAUGCAGGGAGCAUUAGCAAAACUGAGACAUAUGUGAGAGCAAUGAGUUGUAGCAAUAUGAUACCAAGUUUGCGAGAAACAGAAACUUCAGUGAGUAACUCAUAUUCAGUCUCAGUUUCUUCCAGAUGAGAAAUUGUUCUCGUCAAUUGAGGUUGAGACUUCAUUACAUGAUUCUCCGAGAAGCUUGCCAAGUCCUCGAUGCAAGUUGCAGUGAAAAUGUCAACUGCCCCAACUGGCACUCCAAGAAAAUCUGAAAGCUUUUGAGCUGCUCUAACCACACCUAUAGAAUCAAUCCCAUAAGACAUUAGACUCUCAGUUGUACUGAUCUUGUUAAAAGGAAUCCCUGUUUGCUCUGAGACCAGCCUCUUCAAGAACUCUACAAUUUGUUUGUUGGUCAAUCCUGAACUUGGUGAAGAACUCAUUUGCAAGGGUGGAUCUAUUUUCAAGUGUGCUCGAGGUGUUUUACCCUCUUUGCAGGAACCUGUAGUGAAAGAUCGGACCAGUGAUCGUUUUGUGACUGUUGGAUCUGGAACCAAGUUCAACGUACCAUCAGUAAACUGCUUGAGGCACUCAAAUCUCUUGAUUUUUCCCGAUGUUGUUUUACUGAUAGUUCGAGGCUUGAUUAGUUUGACAGCUGCCACACUCACGCCAUGUUCUUCAGCAAUCCUGGAAUUAAUAUCGUUGAUAACAUCUUUACUUACAGGUUUACCAUCUUUAACCUCUGCAAUCACAACCAAGCCAACUUGAUCAGAAUUAUCAGCUGCUGAUAUUCCUUUUGCUGCUAGGAUCUCUUCUGCAACCCCAAUGACAGCACAGCAACCAGCACGCAAGAGUUCUGAUGAGCUUUCAACAGUCUUUUCUACAUCUGCCAGAUAAAUAUUUCUUCCAGCAACUAUAAUGAGAUCUUUGAUUCUUCCAGUGACAAAUAAGUUCCCAUCAAUUAUCCUUCCCAGGUCCCCAGUUCUUGUGUAAAUUUUACCAGGGUGAUUUGCAAUCUUAUUCCUGAAAGUUCUUUCACUUUGAUCAUUAGUGCCCCAAUAACCAAUUCCCGCACUUGGGCUACUAAUCCAAAUUUCUCCUUCUAUUCCCGGUUCGUCAUUCUCUGCACCAGUUUCUGGAUCAACUAUUCUGAUAUCAACAUCUGCAUUAUUUGGAGUCACAUAUCCACAGCUGACCCUUCCUUGCCAAUCCACCAGUAUGGGUUUUCCUUCUCCAUACGCACAAUUGACGAACACACAAUUUUCUGCUAGUCCAUAACCAGGGGCCAUCACCCACUGGGACAGGCCUAAAGGACUUGUGAGCUCAAGAAACCUUUUGAGAGUUUUUUGCCUUACCGGUUCAGCACCAACCAUUAAAAAAAUCAUGGAAGAAAGAUCAUAGGUCCAAAUUUUCUCUUUGCUAAUCUCCAUUCUUCGAACAACAAGUUCAAAAGCAAAGUUCGGGCCAGCACUAUGAGUUGCCCUGUACUUACUCAUGGUCUCAAGCCAUAGGAGAGGAUUCUUGAUGAAGGUUAUUGGGGAAAACAAUAUUGCAGACCCACCGCUCACCAAAGAGCUGAAAAGCCCCCCAAUCAGUCCCAUGUCGUGGUACUGAGGAAGCCAGCUGACUAGCACUGUGCUUGAUGUGCUUUUGUAUCUUCUCCGCAUCAAUUUUACAUUAUGAAUCAGUCCACCAUGAGUUAUCAUAACGCCUUUAGCAUCCCCAGUUGAUCCGGAAGUAAACUGAAGAAAACACAGGUCGUCUGGCUUUGGUUCGUUGCCAUAGUCAUUGUCCUUGUGAAUCAAAUCUUUUGAGUUCCUUAUCCAAGAAUCCGUGUGGAACCAUGGAAGGUUGGGCCAACGAGCUGUAUUCUUGCGACUCUUGGAGGACAAAGAUAGCAAAUUCUUUACUGAACCUGCUCGAACAGCUGCAUGGUAACCAAUGGUUGAUAAAAUAGCCACUGCAUUACAUGCCUUCGCGAUAUUUUCAACCUUCAGAAGUGCCUGACCACCUCUUUGAAGCGGAUCUGGUGGAAGAGCUGGGACAGGCAGUACUCUGGCUCUUAAACACCCAAAGAAGGCAUCAAUAAAAUCGAGACCUGGGACAUGAACUAGGAGCACCCUAUCACCUGGCCUGAUCACUGGCUUUUUGCUAGUCAAGAGCAUGUGAGCUAUGGAGGAAGCAUUUGCAUGAAGUUCUCCAUAAGUCCUUUGCCCCACUACUUCCCCUUCUUCGUUGAUCCAAGUAUAAAGAGUUUUAUUAAGGAUCAUUUUAUGAGUUCCCCAGUGCUUCAAAUAGCCAUCAACACUUGAUAAAUCAGGAAAUUCCACGCCUGGAAUUUCAUCUAGAGUCUCUGGUUUCUUAUCCCGGAUGUCAGAAUACAGUGGGAAUAGACUCUGCGGGAAAAUCAGUGGAUUAGACAAAAUAUAGAACAUCAACCGUAAUUUCAUGAGAAUUUAGUGUACUAAUAAAGUUUAUGUGGGUGAUCUACAGUUUCAAGUACCUUAACAUAUGGAAAUUUUGGCAAGGGUUCAGAACUGCCAAAGUGCUUUUGCAUUAAAGCCAUAGCAUAGGAUGAGUUUCUCUCUGUGAGCUCAAAUGCCAUGAGGCCACCUACAUAGUAAGUAUUCAUCUGACCUUGAAGUUCAGUCUCUAAUCUGUCAUAGAAACCUUCCUUCAUAUCUGUAUUCAAGUUACAAAGUCAGGAUCUUCCAACUCUGACAUAACAUUGGCAAACUACAGAUAAGCAGGUGCUAUACCUUGGCUUUUGACAUGAGGGAAAUACUUAAACCGUCUCUGCAAAACAACUUUUUGAACAACUCCUCCAAUUCGUUGAACAGUAUCAAUUGCUAGUUGGGUAACAGUUGGUCCCUUGAUUGUAUCCGAGUUCCCAUAUGACCAGAAGAGAAAGAUGUCUGUAUCAGCAUAGAAUUUUUGCAUGGCCACUGGAUUCCCUAUUGUUACAGGAUCAUCCAUAAACUCUCCAAAGUAAUAAAAUCCCACAGGCAUUUCUUCCAGCCCUUUAAUCUUCAAAACAGUGGUGUAGUAAUCAAUAGUCUGUACUUUACUGAACAGCUCCUUCUCUAUCUCGCUGAAAUCCAUUACUUUAUUUUCAGAAUCUGUGAGAAAGAAAAAUGUCCCAUCAAUCAUAUACCUCAAAAUAUGCGUUAACUUAUUAGAGGGAUAUAAGACAAAUCAUACCUGCUGAAGCAGAAGAAGGUGAUCUGUAUGUUCUACCACUGAUAAAGGGAAAUGAACCAGAAAUUAUAAUUUUAUCGAAACUCAUGGUUUCAAGUUCUGCAUUACUGUUUCUAACAUCAACUUCUACUCCUAAAGAAUUACGUCUAACUCCAAGUACUUCAGUGUUGCAGAGUACUUGUGCUGGCAAGGAUUUACUAAUUUUCUGCCAUAAACUCAUGUAUCCACCUUUAAAGCGUCUAAUUUUCCCAGCCAUAGAAGUUCGGGUGAACUCAUGAAUGUAUGCAUAAGACAUGUCUUGAAUAAAUCCAUAUCCUGAAGCGGUAUAGCCAUAGGCCACUGAUUUAGGAACAGAUUUAAAUCCACGCCCUUCAAGAAAUGUAGGAGUCAAUUCAGCAGCAAAAUCACUCACACCAUGGACACCAAUUCUACCAGAAUUAUUUGUUUUAUCCUGUGAAAGUAAGAAUAGGAUUGAGUAUUAUCUAGUAAGUUCUCAGUCAAGAAUUAAUACACUACACUUUUGAAGUAAAAAACCACACACUAACCUGGAGAUCUAAGGUUAAUGAUACUACUGACACAUAAUCAUCGGCAACUUGAAUGUCCUGAUACUUUCCAGUCAUACUGUCUAUGAGUGCAAGUUUAUGAGAGUCCAUUUCUUCAAGCUCAGAAGCUGUUUCUUUUGCCAAAUGGAAAAUAGUAGGAGCACUAUUCGCAGCAAGAACUUGCCCUCCAAGAUCAUAAAUUUUUCCUGCAACCAAAUGAUGUGGUUGAUUAGAUUGUAUGACAAAAUACUUAUACAAUAAAUCAGCAGUUAUGUCAUCUAUGUACCUUCAAUAUCAACUGAUUCACACAUGCCACUCACUGUAUGAUAUUUUUCCAGCACAGUGAUAUUGUGGUAACCAAGCUUCGACAGUGCAUAAGCUGCAGAUAUGCCACUUGGACCCCCUCCAACUAUGGCAAUUCUAGUAUUCACAGGGAAAGAGGGAUGUAGGUUUGAGAAUACGUCUUCUAUUGAGUUCUUUAGGUCCAUUAUUGCUGGCUGUAGUAUGAGGAUUUAAAUUGAUAUUAGAUGAAAAAUUUACUUCAACUUCAGGUGACAUGCUAUGUAUUGAGGUAUCAAGAGAAAAGGCACAAAAUCCAAGAAUUGUAGGUACUGAAAAUUCUAAAAGCAAAAGAGAGAAGAUAAAUGAAAGAGCUGAAAGUCUUGUAUGUCUUACAUUUCCUGAUGUUUGAAUUCAGGGACCAACAAGGACAGAUUUCAUGACAGAUAUUAAGAUCAACAAAUAUAGAUUACACUUUCAAUAUUCACAUACAUAGAUGUGAACACUUGUGUAGACAGAGUUGUUUAAAUUUAGUUAUCACAAAAAAAUGUACCACAGGAAUCAUCUUAUUUUGCUUUUUUGACCACCUCCCAUCACAGUGGAACAAGCAAUUUAAAUACCUCAAAUCUCAUUAACAAAAAAAUAAAAACUUUGACAUUCCUCAAUAGAUUUAGAAAUUCCAGAUGCUAAAAUCCAUGAUCUCUUGUGGGAUGUUUAAGAACAAUUUCAGCCAAAGAAGAGAGGCCCUACAUUCCAAAAUCCUGUGAACUGUUGCGGGAUAUCAAAAUGGCCCUUUAUUGGAUGCUUGAGAACAAAUCUAAAAUGAAACAUACCUCAAGGAUCAAAUUCCAUAUACCCAGCUUCCUGUCUCACCGGAGAACAGAAAGGAAGCCAAGUCUCAAUCACAGCAUUGUUACCAAGUAACGUCUCAAAAUGUAGUCUUCUGUUUUCAUUUUCAUAACAUAUCCUAGUUAUAAUGCAACCCUUGAACAAAGUUGCCCCAACCUACUGCUCCAACCUACUGCUUCCACCUAGAGAAAUUUCUCUGUCCAUGCUACUUUAUGUAUCCUACAUGUUUUAUGGUGAUGCUGGUGAAAGGGAUAGCAGAAGAAGUGUCUUUUUCUGUCCCUAAAAAAUUUGCUCCACCAAUGUGUGCGCCAUACAUCUUGUCUACAAGCAUUUCUGAUUUUGAAGACCACCAUUAGUCCUUAAUAAACUUGCUACGUUUCCAUCUGGUAUAUCUACCUAUGCAUGCAUCUCCAUCCCUGAUAAUGACAUAAUCUUUGAAUAUUGUAUCAUUGGAGAUUUGGAAAUCUCCAUUCUUAUCUAGAAAGUCCUAAUGCUACAUUCGAUAUUGAUUAGUUCAAAAAUUGUAUGGGAACAUAUAUAGUGAUUAAUUAGUAACAAUAAAGCAAUCAGAAAUCAAGAAAGAGUUGAAAAGGCUACAUUAAUGUCAUCAACCAACCUGAUCAAAGAUGAUCUAAGCAAAAAGUUAACUCUUGGAUAUGAUCUUGUGGAAACUCGACUUUUUUAUGCGACAUGGCAGAAGAAGGACCUCAGUAAUAUAUAGCAAUGACCGAACCUCCACAGGACGCCUGCUGACUUUAAUGCAGCCGAAUUUAAACACAGAAGAUUCGUUAAAUAUGUCCAAAUGAUAUAAGACAAUGCUCCAAUUUUCAUCUUAGGGAGUAAUUGUCAUUCUCUCGACUAAUUCGCCAAACUUUACCAUUUCACCCGCAGGAUACAAGAAAUUCUUUUUCUGUGCUCUCAAGAAAGUAGAAAGUACCUUUUAUCUAUCUCAUCUGUUUGUAAUCUAACUGAAGUGGUCUUAACAGCAUCCUAAACGAAUAAUAAUUGCGAUUCUAUAGAAAAACAUCGUAUUGAAAAUGACAAAAUUGACAAAAUGACAAAGUUAUGCUCUGAUAAAAGGAUAUUCCAUCGACCCCAUGCUACGUUACAAUCAAUGGCGAUUCCACUAAGAUGGACUAUUUGAUCAGUACUAUUGCAUGAAAGAGAGUAACCAGUUGACGACCAUGAACUACAGUCCAUUUUAUCAAUGAAAUCUAAUCAAAGGAAUAAAACAAGGAUGUUCAUUUUUAAACUUAGUUUAGAGUCAUAGAAGGUAACUCCCAGCUACUCACAUAAUUAGAGUUUUUUAAGUUGAUAAAUAAGGCUAAUCACACUGCUUCAUUCUAUAAUUCCCACUGGCCGCCUAAAUUGCUGAAAGAUUUUCUCUGUUUCUUCAACAUAUUGAUGAAGCCAAGGUUAUUUGUUUCAGCACAGUGCUGAAAAGAUGGUGCAAAACCACGGUCGUGAUUGUGCAUGUAUUUUAACUUUGCAUUCUAAGUCUAUAUGCAAGUUUCUAUCAUGGACCAGUUGGCAGGGGUGUAAACGAAAGUCUAAUCGAGCCAAAUAUUCUAAUUUUCAAACUUAUUUAAUUAUUUUAAUAAAGUUGAGAUUGUAUUCAAGGUUGACUUAUUUAUUUAUUGGGUCGAACUCAAAUGAGUUUUUAGCAAGUCAGACUCAAAUAGUAUGAACUUUUUUACCUAUAAAUUCCAAUUUCAUCUAAAUUAACCAAACUCGACUCGAGUUUAAAAGUUUACCGAAUACAAAAUGUUGUUCUAGUUUGGUUUAACUAAUUCAUGAACCAAGUCCAAAUGAUGUCUUAAAGAGCCAAACUCGAUUCAAAUAUCUAGUAAUUUAGUUCGUCUUUUAACCCUCUAAUUAACUAUAUAGCUCAAUCUUUUUAGCUUGGAGUGUAAGAUUUUAAUGUGGAAUAUCUAAUUACAAUGAGAAAUUGAUAGAAGAAAAGGUAUCGCAUUUUUAUUUACAACAAAAAAGGCUCUAUAUUUGCAUAACAUAUCUGUAAAAAGAUUUGAUGAGAUUUUAGUGGUUGUUAACUGAUAAAUAAUUCGUUCGUUUAAGGAAAAACUAAACACUUGCAAUAGCAUAAGUCCAUCUUUCAGCAUGAAUGAUUGAUAUUCUAAGAUGUAGUUUAGAAUUUUUCAGCCAGGAAAAUGCAACAAUAAAAGGGGUGGAUCACAAUCACAAUGCCAACAAGAUGGGAGUAAAAAGAGCAAGAGAAAAAAACAAGAAUAUUAUCACUAAUGAAGAAAUUGUUGGCUCCUGUUGCAUUUUCCUUUUGACAUUUGUAUCUACUUAUUUUUGCAGAAUGUUUUAUUUGCACUUAUAUAUUAAACAGUAGUCAAUGUGUUCGUGUGGAUGUAACCAAAGGAAAUGUGCACUUGAAUAUUGCAAGAGGUUUUAGUCCUCUUGAUUUGGGACCUUAACUUUCCCUACGAAAAUACAAAGAGUUACAUAUUUGUUUAGUGAUGACUUUAGAAACAUCCGUCCAGACACCACAAUAAACAUAAUCAUAUUUAUCAGCACAUUAAUUCACUAUUUCAAAACGCAAGGCAUGACAUUUGGUUUGAGUACAUCCCUCAAUGAGAUAAUCGAAGAUUAUAAAACUCCAAUAUGGUGUUAAAAUAUUUUAAUCACUGAUUUCUUUUCCCUAAAGAUCUAACUUCUAGAUGUGGUUUAUUAUAUAGUAUUAAGACAUAAUUCGUCACCUGCCAUUGAUAUACAACUCGAAUAUGCCAUUUGUAUUCUGUUCUCAACAAGGGGAACAUAUUGGCUUUUCUACUUCCUUUGACUUAAAAAUAAUAGGGUCACAAGUAGAUUAUUAAAUCUGUAUGGGAAUUUUUUGCCCCUUUUUUUUUGUACCGAGGUACCGUUCUUUAUGUGAUCUAAGAGAACUGUGGGAGUCAAUAAAGGAAAAAAGAAAUUCUACAACUCCAAAUUCCCUUUUCUUGACCACUAGUUGCUCAAAAUGUGUCUUGCAAGAAUAAACUUUAAAUGAAAAGUACAUAAAUUUUUUUUUUUGACCAAAUUUAAGAGGCUCAUGUAUUUUGUAUCCAUUUGCAAAGUGGAUUUUAUCUUGAGACAAAAUUUUGUACAAUAGAUCCCUAAUGGUGAAUUACUUGUAAAGUACUUAGUGAUAUUCAUUUUUCGCUUUCUAUUUUUAUUUUUAUUGUUUAUGUCGCACUAGUAAAGAUCUCCUUUCAACAUUUGGUGAUCCUAUCCACUUCCCAACAAUUAAAGAAAUGCACUAUCGUGACAAGAAAUUAUUGUCAAGUAGUGACAUUAAUCAAUUAAAAUUUGGUUAUCUUGAUGCAUCUGACAAAGAUCACUUUUCUUCUUCUUUCUUGGGAGCGGCUGUGCGCCAUAUGCCAGAGACUAGUGGUGGCCUGACGGUAAGAAGCCGGCUAAAUGGCUUGAUGGUGGCUGGACGGGAGGAGGUAGGAAUCAAUGAAUAUAAAGGAAAGAUGUAAGAACUCCCCUUUUUUUUUUUUUUGUAGAAAGAGGUAGAGCCCACUAAAAAUACAGGAAAAGUUACACACAAAGAUUUUGAAAAUUAUAGAUAUGUUUUAGUCAUUACUUUUUAAAAACCUAAUGUUUUCCUAUUUUUCUUAUCUAUGAAUUUUACGUGUACUUAACACCUAUAUUUUAGACACUGAUACAAUUCUUUAAAAUCUUAUGCAAUAAACAGAAAUAAUUUAGAUAUUUCGAUGUAUAUGUAAAUUUCAAAUUCAACUAUGAUUGAUGAUUCAACCCAUAAAGGUCUGUUGGUUCGAAUGCUGAAAUUUUAUAAGGUGUCCCGUUAAAGUAAUUUUAUUUCAACAUAUGUAAAAUGCUGAACAUUUCCAUGUAAUAAACAUGGAAAUUUUAGGGAUAAUUUCAUAAACCUCCCCUGAAGUUUAGCAUUAUGUCACUCUGCAUCCUUGAGAUCUUCAAAAUCUUAGCUACCUCUCUUGAAUUGAAAUUUUUUUUAAAAAAAAAGUCAGCCCAUUUGGAGAAAAAGUGAGAGAUAAUAUUUUAGUUUCAAUAUUACCAUUGUGUUAUCCUAUUUAUGAAGCUUAUAACAAUAAUAAAAACUAAAAUAAGGUUAAACAGUAAAUGUGAAGAUAUGACGGAUUAUAAUUGCAAUAAAGAGUAAUUUUGUAGCAAUACAAUGACUAUUACCUUGUAUAACGAAUGCUAUUUUCACCAAAAGCAUGGCCAAAUUCUAGAUAUCAGGUCAUGAGAUCAUUUUUAGAUUAAUCUUAUUAAUAUUGACUCAUUUAUAAAUUUUGAGUACAGCUUAUUUAAGCUUAUUUUAAUUUUGAGUAUAUCUUAAAUAACAUCAUAUAUUUAAACAUAGUUCCUAAAAAAAUUACUUGGCUUCCUCAAAUCAGUCCAGCAAUAUUUUUCAGUGCGUUAAUAGCCAACCAAACUUUUCAAGUAACUGAUGUUGACUAAAUUCAACGUAACCACAGAUUGAGAUCCUCUGCAAUAUAGUGAUUGCAAGACAUAGCUGAAAGUUGUAGAUAGGGUAUUUGAAAGGGAUAAUUUCAGAAACCUCCCUUGAGGUUUCUUACUAUUUCACUUAGUUCCCUUGAUGUUUUAAAAAUUAUACUUACCUCCCAUGAUUUGACACUUUGGUAACCAAACUUUAAAAUAGAGUAAAAAAUUUAAUGAAUACCCUAAAAUGCCCUUAUUUUACAAAGUUCAAUUUGUUCUUCUAAACAAAAAGGGUAUCAAGUUUUUCAUGCUAAUAUUUGUUAUUUAAUAAUCAACUAUGACAAUAAAUCUUUUGCUAUAAUAGGGUAUUUUUCAUAGUACUUUAUUGGGAAUAUAAAUUCUUUUUAAGAUAGAGAAGAAAGUGCUAUUUUGUUUCUUUUAAAGUUUAUGGACUAUUUUUUUAAUAAAAAUUUACGGACUAGUUUAGUGGUAGAACUAUCAUUAUUUGGUAAUGAUUUUGGGUCAUUUGUUUUUAAUCAUUGCUGACUUAUCCUUGAAUUUGAUACCCCAAAAAAAGCUACAAAAAGAUUGGAGGAUAUUAAAAGUUAUCAAAAAAAAUUACUAGUUUAACAUUUAAUUUGGAUAGAUAUUAGGGACAAUAUUGAUAGUUCUUCUAUACUUCUAAUGAAAUAUAAGAGAAAUGAAAAAGAAGGAAAAUGGUAAAAAAAAAUUACAAAAUCCAUCCUUUGCAUAAACAUGGCAACAAGAGAGUUUUAUUAAAAAUAUUAAGGUUAGUAUUGUCAUUUUAAAUGGACAAAGGAGAUAAGUGUAAUUUUUGAAACCUUAGGAGAGCCAAGUGAAAUUAUUAGAAACCUUAGGGGAGGUUUCUAAAAUUAUCCCUAUUUGAAAUUGGAUGGAAGGGUUAUAAAAUAUGACAGAAAUUUUUCAAUGUAUCAAAAAAGGUCUUGUGUUCUUGCAUCUUGUUAUUUUAUUGUUUGCAUCUACUUUGCUAGUGUUUUAUGUUUACAUUGUACUGUAGAAUUGAAACUACUAAUUAGAGAAGCCUUUGAUUCAUUAGUCACCUGCUUUGCUGCCCCACCACUCCUUGGAUAUAGAAUAAUAUUGACCAAUAUUGAAUGACCAUUUGGUUAUGUUUUGUCUUAUGUUUUUUGGUAUAAAAUUUCUUUUUUAUUUGGGCUUUUUGAUUAAACAGUUAUUAAGAAUGCAAGUUUAAUAUCAUCAAUUCAUAACUUUUAGUUGGGACGUGUGGUCUUGUCAAACUAACAAGGGACAUGGGUGAGCUUUUAUAAGCAUUAGGAAUGCUGAUUGAUAUUAUGAGAAAUUUCAGCAAAGGUUUUUUUGAAAUUAUCCCAAGAUUUUAGUUACUUCUCUUUUUCUCUCUACAAGCAGAUAGGAUAUGUUUCAAAUGGAUUUGACACUGAGCUUGGCAUUUUAAGCGUUUCAUCUCCCAGAUUAACGAUAGGAAUAGAAAAUUUCCAUUCUCUUUUUCUUUUUGUGAAAAAAUCAAUUGUUAGAAGAAUAUAUUCCAUAUUUAUGACCUUUUUGACCAUAAACAAUGUAUUAACAUUCUCACAAAUUCUCCAUACGCUUUUGAUCAUUCUAUCUAUUCCAUCGAAGUAAUUUUUACUUCUAAACUACGGCACCUAACUCCUCCACAUCCAGCAGCAAGGAGAAAAAAACUAUAUUACUGGUCCUUAUCAUGUUUUCCAAGCAUAUACGCAUAUAAAUCAUCAAAAAUCUCUAUUCUUGUAAUGUAUUUCGUUGAAAAGUGGAAAUUUUACAUGAUGCAGAACUAGGUUUAUGGAUGUAGUCUCAUUUCUCACUCAAGAUCCUCUCAGUUUAAGGGAAUCUUGUAUUGAAAGGAUCUAUAUAAGUGAUCCCAUGAUGUUAGGGCCUUGUAGUUCACAAUUUACAGAUUUGAAUUAUGUUUACAAUCAGCCAACUCCCUGGUUGUAGGUCAGGAUAUGUAUUCAUGCACCCGUAGUUAAAUUUAAAAAGUGUGUAGUAGUGCACCCCAUUAAUUUUGCAACGGUUUCUUUCGCUCUAAUUACUUACUCAGUUAGGUCCUCCCAUGGUAUAGUCUAGCAUAUGAGUAACAGUAGACAUAGUAUUACAUGUUGACUAUUGAUAAAAAAAAAAUUAUGUUUACAAUUUUUAAGCACACAUAAGUUUGGUAAUGGGCUUAUUCUUAUUUUAUAACUGUUUAAAAUUAGAUAAAAUUUUUACCACCAGCAAUAUAAAGAUUUUUGCACACAAAGAGUCGGAUUGUAUGAAAAACAAUUUUUAUUCAAAUUUGCAAUUUUCUUCUUGUACAUAUUUCAUUCAAAUUUACCUAUUCAUAUUUAAACAAAAAAAAAUUGCACAGAAAACUUAUCCUUUUAAUUAACUUUACUAUAUAUGUAUGUAAUUUUUCUCUUUUUUUUUCCCUUUUGUUUUUUGUAUAGUAGGUAGAUUUGAUGUGUUGUCAUCAAUUUUUCGCUUCAAUUUCCUUUAAAAAGUGGAUUUUGAAAAGGUACCUCGAAAAUGUUUUUUGAAGCAAAUUUUUAUUUUUAAAAGAUUUCAAAACGAAAAUAUGAUUUCGUUUUUUGCCUCGGACUUUGAAUAAUUUGCCUUUUCACUGUAAGCUACCAAAAUAGCAUGAAGUUGUAAAAAGCAAACUAAAAGCCAGUAUACAGCCUUAAAGUCAAACUUAUCAUUGAUCAAUUAUUUGGAGGCAUAAUAUAAGUUGGUAGUACAGUAUUUUUUUUUCUUUUUUAUUCCUCAGAAAUGUCAGCUUUUUGUUCUAGAUUUUGUCCACUUAUUUUCUUCUUCCCUUGAAAUAUGGGCGCGGGGCAAGGACUUCAAAUCAACUGUUCCUUAGUAACGUAAUAUUUUUUGAAGGUCUUGUAACUUUAAAUAAACUAUUUGUACAUCUUUACAACAGAGAUGUAAUAUUAUGUUACUAUUUAUAUGGAUCUUAUAUAUAAUAAUUGCACAUUUAUUGUGAAAUUUUACAAGUAAUUAACGUAAAAUUACACUCUUUUUUUAAAAAAAAAUGUUACAUUGUCAAGGAGGGUUGUCAAUGAUUGUCACCUAAUUGUUAGUUGGUCAAUACCUAGCAUGCUUCACGAGGUAAUGCAGCCUAGCCAAAGCUUCUUUAGUCCUUUCCUUGAUGCACAAUAUUGACGAUCAAGUGGCCAUUGGAAAUAUGAAAUACUACGAUUUCUCAUAGCUACUAACAUUAUUAACUAAUAAGCUAAUGUCAUAUGGCCAGCAAAUAAGUCUAACCAAUAAACUUGGUUUAAUAUUCUACAUAGCCACCCUUAAACCAAGCUUCUCUAAUUUGGACAUGUCCAACAUCUUCUUCAACUUGACAGAAGCCUCAGUCUUCAAUGCCUUGGUAAAAAUAUCAGCCACUUGCUCUUCAGUUCUGCAAGAAUCAACUUCAAUUUCUCGAACCAACUCACGUAUGAAGUGAUAUUUGAUGUCAAUAUGCUUGCUACGUCCAUAGAGAACUGGAUUCUUGGACAAUUCAAUUGCAGACUUACUAUCACAAUAAAUCUUCGUAGGAUCAAUCUGCUUGUGUUGUAGAACACCAAGUAUGUGACAUAGCCACAAAGCUUGAGUAGCACUGUUAGCCGCUGCAAUAUACUCUGCUUCCAUUGUAGACAAUACAAUUACCUGUUGCUUCUCCGAACUUCAAGAAAACAUGCCAAAAUCAAUAAAAAAUGCAUAACCUGAAGUACUCUUCCUCUCUACUAUAUCACCUGCCCAAUCACUAUCUAUGUAGCCAAACAAUUCAACUAGAUCAUUUUUUGAAUAAAAUAUGCCAUCACUGUGAGUACCUCCAAUUUUGAAGAGGUGAUUUCUGGUGGGUAGCAGAACUGACCUGAAUCAGUCCUCUCUCAAGUGAGGUGUGGUGAAUUCACUUGUCCGAAAUGAAUGGCAAGGCUUCUCCCUUGGGAUCACUUCGACGAUCAAGUCAGUAUAUUGAGAGAAUAAGAAAAUAAGAGCGGGUAUAAAUGAACAGUAUGCUUACUUGUUGAGAGUGAACGGGAGUAUUUAUAGGGCAGGAGUGGAGGGCAGGACGGUGGGCUUAUGCUAGUGGAACCCACGUCCUAGCCAUUAUGCUAGUAGACCAGAGAUCUGGCCGGAUCCAGGGGUCAUGUCUAAGGGACAUCAUCUCGGCCUGUAUGACGGACGAAGUGAGAUAACCUCGGCCUUGACGGUGGCCGAGGUGAGCAUCCUCAAUACCUUAAAAUCUUCUUGGCUGCCUGCAAGUGUGAUUGAUGUAGAUUUUCCAUAAACCUGCUAAUCAUACCAACAACAAAAUUGAUAUUUGACCUUGUAGACGUCAAAUAUCUCAAACUCCCUACCAAACUUUUAAAGUAGGUGGGAUUCACAUAUCCACCAACGCCUUUCUUGGUCAACCUCAAUUUUUCUUCAACUGGUGUCAUAAUUGGUUUUGCUGUAUCUAUCUUGAAUUUCUUUAAAAUGUCACUUGCAUAUUUCUUUUGAGAUAUAAAAAUCCCACUAUCAGACUGAAAGACUUCAAUUCCCAAAAAAUAUGGCAUGAGUCCCAUAUCUGUCAUCUCAAACUGUUUAAUCAUAGCCUCCUUGAACUCUGCAACCAUCUCUGAAUUAUUUCCUGUAAAAAUUAAAUCAUCUACGUACAAGCACACAAUAAGAAUAUCACACGAGCAGAAGAUUUAAUAUAUUAAGUGUGCUCAGAUGGACACCUCUGAAAACCACGAGUCAGAAAAUAAGAAUCAAUUCUUGUAUACCAGGCUCUUGGGGCUUGUUUCAAUCCAUUUAAGGCUCUUUUCAAUCUAUACACCUUAUUUUUCGGACCUCUUCUAACAAAUCCUACUGGUUGCUCCACAUACACUUCUUCAUUAAGAACUCUAUUUAGAAAAGUUGACUUGACAUUCAUUUGAUAAAUUCUCCAGUUAUUUUGAGCAGCUAAAGAAAUUAUCAUACGAACUGUGUCAAGUCUGACAAAGUCUGACAACGGGUGCAAACACUUCAAAAUAGUCAAUCCCGGGUUCUAGUUGUAUCCCUUAACCACUAGUCUCGUCUUAUUUCUAUCAACUUCUCCACUAGGUUUAAAUAUUGUCUUAUACACCCACUUCACUCCAAUAGGUUUUUUAUCAAUUGGAAGAGAAGUAAGUUUUCAGGUGUCAUUCUUCUCUAUUGCAUGAAUUUCUUCCUCCAUUGCUUUCACCCAAUGAUCAUCACUGGCUGCUUUCUCAUACACAACUAGGUCACAAUCUACAAACAAAGCAAAAUUAACAAUAUUUUCGUCAGAAGAAAUAUUAUCUGGUGUAAUAACAUAAUCCUGUAGACGAGCUUGCAUCUGUCGUUGACGUUGGGGACGUCCAGUUAAUCAUUUUGUGGACCCUGAGCAACUGGUGAUGGUUGAAUAUCAUAAUUAUCCUCCUCUUGCUGAUAAUUUAGAGUCACCUCUGCUAUCUCAAGAUCUCUAGUAGGCCAAUCCCAAACACUUCUUUCAUCAAAAGUCACAUCUCUACUUACUAUCACCUUUUUUGUCACAGGAUUAUACAACCUGUAAGCCCAAGAGACUUCAUUAUAACCAAUAAAUACACACUUCUCCCUCUUAUCAUCAAGUUUCUUUCUUAAUUGAUCAGGAAUAUGGGAAUAGGCAACACAUCCAAAAACUCUGAGAUGACCAACAAAUGUCUUCUACCACUCCAAACUUCUUCAGGAGUUUUUCCGGGAACACUUCUGAUAGGACACCUGUUUAACAGAUAAAUUGCACAAGAAAUUGCCUCUGCCCAAAAAAGAUUUUGGCAUAUUUUUCACCUUCAAUAUACAUCUCACCAUAUCCAUAACUGUCCUAUUCUUCCUCUCUGCCACUCCAUUUUGUUAAGGAGUGUUCCUGGUAGUCAACUGAUGCUGUAUCCCAUUUUUUUCAAGAAAAUCAUCACACAUCAAAUAUUCCUGACCCCUAUCUGUUCUCAAAAUUUUAAUUUGACACCCAGUUUGCCUCUCAACCAAAGUUUUAAAAAAUUUUAAAAGUAUCACACGCAUCAAAUUUUUGUUUCAAAAAAUAUACCCAGGUUUUUCUACUAAAAUUAUCAAUAAAGGUAAUAAAAUACCUGCAACCACCAUUAGAAGGAACCUCCACAAUGCAUAAAUUUGAAUGAAUAAUUUUUAAUGGUCUUCUAGCCCUCCAUGAUUUGCCAGUCUGAAAGGUAUCCCUAUGUUCUUUUUCCAAAACACGCAUAUCACAUACUCUACCAGGAUUUAUAAUAUUAGGCAAUCCACCAACCAUUCUUUUAUUGGUCAAAAAUUUCAAACUGCCAAAAUUCAGAUGACCAAAUCACAUAUGCCACAGCCAAUUAUUAUCAUCUAUCACUGUACUCAAACAAGAAAAAUUGGCACUACUCAAAUUCAAUGGAAAUAAGCGAUUUGAAGUCAUUGGUACACCGGCAAUCAUUCCAAUAUUUUUAUCAAAAAUAGUACUAAUAUCAUUCCUGAUACAAAUAUCAUAUUUUUUUCUCAAACAACUGGCCCAUACUCAACAAGUUUUGAUGCAACCCAGGAACAUAGAAAACAUCAGAAAUAAAAUCAGUAGACCCAUUUUUUAGACUAAUAGGAAUUUUUCCUUACCAAUCACUGAUAAAACAGUGUUAUUCCCAAAUUUAACUUCACCACAGACAUAUUCAUCAAUCUCAACAAAUAAUUCUUGCUUGCCAGACAUAUGGUUGCUACAACCCAUAUCCAAGUACUAUUUAUUUUUAUCAACCACAUCAAUAACAUUACAGACUAAUAAUACAGUUUCAGAUUUUUAUUAUUAUCUUGCACCUAAUUGUUAACAACAUUAGCCUGAAAAUUUCUGUCUACAUUUUCUCCAAAUCUACAUUCAAAUUGUCUAUGGUCCAAAUUUUCACAAUUAUGACAUUGAACUCUCUGUCCAAAAUUAUUCUGAAAUUAUUUUUUGAUUAAAAUUAUUUCCUCUGCCAAAAUUACCACCUUUGCCUCUACCAGGGCCACCUCCAAAAUUGAAAUUAUUACCUCUACCGCGUCCAGGAUUUGAUGUACCUCCACGGCCUCUAUUAUUGUUGCCACGACCACUUCUAUUAUUGUAACCACCUCUGCUUCUCUGACCGGAUUCGCCUUGCUCCCUAACAUCAUUAUUGCCUCUCAAAUUCAAUUGCACCUACAAUGCCUUCUCUACUAUAUCCUUCUCUGGGGUAUCCUCCAAUUUUUCAUUAAUUCUUUGUUCAUGCAGAAUUAAUGACCCAUGCAAAUCUUCAAUAUUCAAAUCUUCCAAAUUUUUUGUUUCCUGAAUUACAGCUACCACAUGAUCAAAUUUCAUGAGUAGGAUAUCGAGAACUUUCUCAACAAAUGUUUUGUCAGAAAGAUUAUACUGAUUAAGUUUCAUCUCAUUUUUAAUAUCUGACAAACAAGAAAAAUAUGACUUAAUAGAUUAUGACUUCUCCAUCGUCACAAGUUCAAAUUUUCUCUUCAACAUCAUCAAAUUAUUUUGUUAGACCCUAUCAAUCCCUUUGUAUGUUUUCUCCAAUAUAUCCCAAGUCUCCUUUGUCGUAUCAGUCGUAGCAAUUUUUCCAAAAACUAACAUGUCAAUUGUCUGAUGAAUUUGUGACAAAGCUAAGCUAUCUUUUGCCUUAUCAUUCUCACUAGCAUCCUGAGCAAGUGCAGAUUCAAUAUAUCGAUGUAAUUUAUAUACCUUGAGAUGGGUUAUCAUUUAUUUCUGCCAAAAAUUGAACUCCGCCUUUGUUUUGAGUUUUGGACAGAACAAAUAAUAUUGGGGUUAGGGUUUGCUAUAUUUCAAUCUACCGUAGCUCUAGUACCACUUUGAUGGACCCAAAUUAAUAACAAAUUAUAAACCCACGGAAAAAUAUUCAAGAACAACGAAAUAGAGGCAAAGAGAAAUUUUUCUCAACCAUUCACGCCGCGCGGCUGCGUGACUUUUCUUUUACACACGGACAGAAGCUUCUGACUCGACCUUUUACAAUUGAUGCAGAGGCUAUAUCUAAUACACUUCUUGUGCCUUACACACUUGCACAAUUACUAGUGCUAUAUCUGAAUGGAAGUAAUCCCGUGUGAUUCCGUCAAUAAAAUAACAAUGACACUAACAUUAUUAACUAAUAAGCUAAUGCGAUAUGGCCAGCAAAUAAGUCUAACCAAUAAACUUGAUUUAAUAUUCUACAAACAUUACAUGACAUGGGACUUGAUUCCAAGAUUUGGUAAUGAAAGGCUAGUCCACGUAGUUUAAUUAGAUAUACGUAUGAAAAAAAGUAGCAUUUUGUACUACCUAAAUAAUUGGGAGUCUGUAAUUUGCUGUCGACUCUUCCAUGUUGAAGUUUAGUAUCUCUUUCUUUUGUGCAACUGUCAACAAGUUUGCAGUGAUUUUUUCUUUUCUUUUUCCUUCUCUGGGGGAUUUCAAAAUAAACAAUAGGAGAAAUUAUUAUAUUAAAUCCAAGACAGGAAAUUUUUGUAAAGUAGUGACAUUAACCAAUUAAAAUUUGGUUAUUUUGAUGAUCUGUUGUUUCAGACCACUUUUCUUCUUCUUUCUUGGAGUGGCAGUGGGCCAUAUGCUAGAGGCUAAACGUGGCCACGAUUCAUAUUUGAAUUGAAACUAAAUCGAAAUUAAAUUGAUGAUUUACUGAACCAAAAUCAAAAUCAAAAUUAAAAAUCGAAACCGGAAUAAUAAUCAUGACUAAAGAUUUAGAUUCAGAUUCACCAAAAUUUUAACCGAAAUCGAAACUGGUGAUUUAGAAUUGAUUUAAACCAUUUUUAAAAAAUUUUGCAACCUAAACUUAUUUAACCAAUUUAGAGUUCAAUAUCAAUAAAUAGCACCUAACACUGGUAUCCUACCCCGACAAUCCGUUGUCCCAUCCAUUAGUAAGUCUAUAGUCGUAACUAAUCUAAAUCCAAGACUAAUCCAAUCUAAUAAAAAAUGAGUUAUUUUUUUCAUAAAAUUUGCAUCAUUUUCCUUUUUUUCUUCUGCACAUGAUAAUACAAUAAGGUUCUUUUUUUGUACAUUCAUUGCCAUAUUUUUUUUAGAGUCAAUUUUAUAAGAACAAGUAUUUAAACAUAACUAAAAGAACUGAAACUAUAAUCGAAAAUAAUCAAAACUGUAACCGGAAUAAAAUUCGAAACAAAGUUGGACCGAAACCGAAGGUUCAAGAACCAUAAUCAGAAUCAUUCCUAUAAGCGUCAAUUCAAAUUCCACCUUUCCAAAUAAUCGAAAUCAUCAGCUUAUAAAUUGGAACCGACAAUUCUAGAACAUUCCUACUAGACACUAGUGGUGGCGGCAGGAACUCAUAAUGGGCUAAAUGGCGGCUUGACAGUGGCUUGGCGGUAGGAAGUAUGAAAACCAAAUUUUUGUAGGAUGCAAGAAGUCAAUUUUUGCUAAAAACGAGGUUGGGACCAAUCGAAUUGUUUGGAUACCUAUUCUUUUGAAAAAGUUAUUUUAUUUACAUCAUAAAUAUAUUUUUUUAUAAUUUUGAUUACCUUUCUAUUUCAUAUAUAUCACAUCAUAAAAAAUAUUAUAGUAUUAUUUUUAAAAAAAUUCAAAAAAUCUUCUAUCUAAACACACUCAAUAAGUACAUAGGAAAGACGUAAGAACUCUUUUUUUUAUAUAUAUAGAAAGAGGUAGGAACAACUAAGAAUACAAGAAAGUUACAGACAUAUUUUUCCAGUACAUUGUCUUACAGAAAGUAAGCAUGUUUUUGCAAAUAAACCUAAUCCCCACAGUAACUUCAAAAGCCGGCAACUCUUGAAGUCCUGCGAGGGACUUAUCUACCCAAACACCCCAACCCCCCCAACCGAUGUGGGAUAGAAAACCCCACAGGGGAAGUAGUAUAUAGAUACUUUUAGCAUAUUGAUUAUGAAAAUUAUAGAUACUUUUGGAUUAUAGUAGCAUGCAUCAUAGAUAGGACUAUAAUAGCAUCGCUGACAAUGUAACUUUAAAAGUUACAAAAACGCCUAAAGCUCUUCAUACAUCUUUUUAUCUUUUUUUUUUGUCUGAUAUGACAAAUUUUAUACUACACAUAUUCCUGCUCUAUACUAGGGGAAGGGAGGGACCAAAGGGGUCAAGGAAUAAUCCUGCGGGGACUGAAUCACCACCCGUUGGCGAAAUAUUUCAAGAAAUCCUGGAUAUUAGAAUGUAUGCUAAAAGAUUCGAUCCCUUGACCUACACCUAAGUAGAGACUUAAGACUCUCUUGAUGGCCUAAAUUAGUUGGUUGCUUAAAACUCUUCAUACAUCAUAGAUAGGACUAUAAUAGCAUCACUAACAAUGUAACUUUAAAAGUUACAAACACGCCUAAAGCUCUUCAUACAUGCCAAAGAUUUUAAAUAUUUGUUUGAGUGUCGAAAAUUCAAGAGAUGGAAAUAUCUAAAAGUUAAAGAUAAGACCAUAUAUAUUAACAAUGGGUUGAGAAAAUUAGUAAUUAGUAGAAGUUUGUAACUUUGAAAAUCACAAUGUUGAUAAUCUUCCUAUUUUUCAUUUCUGAAUCAUUAAUUUUUUUUUUCUAACCAAUGUUGUCCGAUUUUUCUUAUCUAUAAAUUUUGCAUGUAUUUACCACCUAUACUUUUUAAACACUGAUACAAUUUUUUUUAAUCUAAGGCAAUAAAUAGAAACAAUUUGGAUAUUCGUAUGUAUCUGUAACUUUUAAAAGUACAAUAAUUCGAUUCACAAAGACUUGAUGGUUCAAUAGAUAUCUUAUUCUUCCUGCCGUUAGUAUUCUUCGGCUCUUCUUUAUGCCUCUUAAGUAGUCCUACAACAAGAGCAAAUGGUGGUUUCUGAGUGUGUGCUUGACCGAAGUGGCUAUUUUAUCUUCCUCAAUGAUGGAUCCAAGUCAAAAAAAAAAAGACUCAAUUCUUCGUUCUUCUCAAUUAAAUACAAUAACUCCACUGAAAAAAUUGUUAGGUAAUACUAAUAUAAUUUGUAUUAUUAUUUGGCUUGAUUUAAUAUACCCACACCGAAGAGUAAUGACAUAACAAUUCAUUGGCCGAUGGACAAGUUUGUAUCGGUCUAAGCAGCCUUAGCUUUUCUAUAAGGUGUCCCGACAAAGUAACUUUAUUUCAGUAUACUCCCAAUGCUGAUCAUUUCCAUGUAAUAAACAUGUGGAAUUAUUUCUGGAGGUUUCUGACAGUUCCACUAUUCUCCCCUAAGAUUUUCAAAAUAUCAAAAACUCCCCUAAAGUCAAUUAGCUGGUAACAAAUCAACCCAAUUCAAAUAAAUAUAUAUAUAUAUAUAAUCCAUAUUAGGAGAGAGAAAAUAAUUUGAUUCCAUAACUACCCUUAAGUUUUGCAUUAGGUAAUUAAUUUACUAUGACCAAUAUAUAUCUAUUUUAACUUUAUCAAAUGUGAAGGAGUGUAAGUGAAACUGCUUACAAAAGUAAGGCUUCAAUUUCAAGAUUGUGCAACUAUUAUCGCAUUCAUAUAGUGUAAACAAAAGAUCAGCCUUCUAACUCUACAACAAAUUUAGUAACUCAAAGUCUCAUCUACAUAUUGCACGUGUAAUAUUAUACUAUUACAUCUAUUAUAACACAUCAAUAGCAUACGCUACUAUAAGAGAAACAAAGCAUGUAAGCCCUGCUACAACCAACAUUUUAGUUUAAAACAGAUCAUUUCUUGAAUGAUCACAAAUAAGAAAAAAAUUGUUAUCAUUAAAAUGUUUUUCAAUUUAAUACCAUACAACCAACAAUCUUUACCUUAUAUUUUAUACAACACCAACACCUAUUUUCCAUGACAAUAAAAAUAACAAUCAAGAUAAAAAAAAAAAGAGAAAAAACACGAUAAUUGAAUAGUGAUCAUCAAAUGGAGCAGAUUAUAUAAAACAUAAUACAAACUACAUAAUAUCAUUUUUUCAUUUUUUUUGUUUGAUCCAAGAUAUUCUUUUUCACUUGCAGGGUCACUUUUAAGCAUGAUCAUCAAGAACUACCUUAACAUCUACAAUCAAAUAAUAAAAAUUUCAAAAUUUAAGAGCAGAAAAAUCUUAGAGGUUGACCUUAAGAUUUUCACAAUCACCAAAAUUUGACAAAAAUUUCUAAGUAAAUUUCCUCUUCAAGUCUCCUAAAUCCUUAGAUAUGUCUAAAGAAGCUCUAUUUUUCUUAUUCCACAAAAACCACUAAAGUCUAAAUCAUUACUUCUACUCAUGCAUAUCAAUUAUCAAUAAUAGCAAGGCGAAUAUUUGGCCCCCUUUUGUAAUGGCAAUUUAGAAAUUUUUUUAAAAAAACUUAUAAAUUGUCAUUGUUUUUGUUGAACCUAGUUAAUAAUAAUUUAACUAAUCAUGUGAACAUAAUUGCAAAAUAUCUCUUAAGUUGUGUGGAUAGUUAAGUCAUUUCUCCAUGAUUGAUGUAACAAUUGUGUAACGGCCCCACCUCCCCCUGAGGCGAACCAGAGGGUUCGGCGGGCCGCCUGCCCGACUCUCGCCGGGACUCAGUCGUUCACUAAAGUCCUCAAAUGAAUUACAAUAAAAAUCUCAAAAAUUACAAUAUAAAUCUCCAAUAUACAUCAAAUUCUCCAAAAUUACAUAUCAUAAGCGAAGCGGAAACAAAUUCCCAACUAUACAUCAAAUGAAUCCAAAUUCAAAUUGUACAACAUAAAGGCCAUCCAUUCACGUGAAUAAGUACGACAAGUCCUUCCUUUGCCACGAGCCCUGUGGAGGGGAAUAAAAUAUUUUUGGGAUGAGCUAAAAGCUCAGCAAGUAACCAGAAAAAUCAGUAAUCAAAUCGGUUUCACAAUAGUUCAUUUCAAUGAUGUCAUAUGGAGUAUCAAUAAUUCAAGAAACAUGUACAAUGGAAAGCGAUAGUAACAUUCGUGAAAAGGAUACAUUCGUUCUCCUGUCCUUCAUUUGACAUUGCAUUAUUUUCCACCAACCUCCACCAACCUACAAAGGUAAUACUCGAGUAUACCAAACGUUCACCCAGGUCCCUAAUCGCCCGAUCGAGUCCGUUUCUGGCUCGAGACGACCGGUAACAAGGGGCAAUGGCCAGUUCAGCCCAAAAGGCUUACAUUCAUGCGCAAGUAGCAUUUAAUCAUUUAUCAUGAAAUUUUCACAUUGAUUUAGGUCGAGUGCGAUAAAAUACACACUCGCCUAGAAAGCUCGUUUUGGAAAUCAUUCAAAGCACAUAACACGUUAUCAAUCAAUAAUACAAGUCAUGAAGUCAAGGAAAUAUAUCAAACAAGGAACACUUUCAUAUAAGCACGCAUGAUAUGCAAGAAAACAGUUCAAAAGUAGCUUUGGAAACAGUUCAAAAGUAAAUAAUGUAAGAAACAUUUCACAAGUACUUUGGAAAUAGUUUAGGGUCACUCACCUCCGUGGCUCAGAAACCAUCCAUCAUAUAUCAUUGCCUUACUCAAAUCCGAGUCUUAGAUCACAAACUCAAUGCAAACAAAUCCCUUCAAAGUUCGGACAGCACUUCCCCUAAAUUUCUUUACUUUUCCAGCCAUCAAGGCUUCAUUAUUUCCUCAGCCAGUCCCAAAGGUACACACACAACAACAAGUUCAUCUAAUAGUCAUUCAGCAAGUUCCAAGUAGUACUAGUACAAGUCAAGCUAGGGAAAAGUCCGGAAAUGAAAGUUAAGCUCAAAACCAGAAAAACAGUUUUGACGUCCUUUUGUGGUAAUGGCACCAAAGGCAUUACGAGUAUCGGAUAGAGGUCCAAGACCCACCGUUUUGAAGCUAAGAACCAGGGCUACAACAAUGUAGAAGGUCACUCAGUCCAAAUCCCAGCACAACUAAGUCAAAUAUGCCAAAUAACAAACCAGAACCGUACUUGCAGGUUUACAAAUUACACUAUGCUGUAAUCAGUACAACUCAGUCUAAACAGGUCCAAAUGCAGAAAUUCCAAAGGCAUAUGGUAGCUAGGACAUCAAGCUACAUUUCAUCAGAAGACCUCAACACCCAAAUCCAAAAAACUUCCAGUCAAAACAACCCAUUUCAGACGCAGUUCUAACAUCCUGAUGAACCCAGAACAGCAAUAGUAAUUUCGGCUUAUCUCAUUCUACACUACUCCAAUUGAUCUGAAAUUUUACAGGCACCUUUAAAACAUCAAUACCUACAACUUUCAUGUUUUGAGAUAAGCCCAAUUCGGCCUAUAUCUAGGACCUAAAAUUUCGGACAGAAUGAAGAACCAAGAACCCUAAUUUCCAGAAUUUCUUCCAAAACAGAAAUUGAUUGCAAUUGUCCACUUUUUCCACCUUCUAGCUUCCUCAACUAUCAUUUCCAAUCAUCAUACAUAACCACAUAAUAACAAUCAUAUGAGAAUAGAAAAAUCCUAAUUAAAUAUAAAACUUCACUAAUUUCAACCAAAAUCAUGAAAUCAUCCAUAAAAUCACUUAUUCAACCACCACCAAUAACUAAUUGAACAUUAUCAAGAUCAAAGGAAAGCUUCCUUAGUCACUUACCAUGCAAACCCAAGGAAAGACCCAACUUAGCACCUUUGCUUCUCAAACCACUUCACCACACACCUUAAUACCACCAAGAGAAAGGUUUUUAUGGAGCAAAUCACGGUUUUAACGGUUGGUUUGUGAGAUUGGGCAAGAAAUAGAAGGAAGAAAUUGGAAGCUUUUCUCUCUUUUUGUCUCCAAGAGGUUCGGCCAAGGAGCUUAUGAAGAAGAUGAAUUUUGGGUCAAGUUUUUAAUCAAUUAGUAAAGGUAGUAAAAUGGUCAAAGUCCACCCUUGAGUAAGAAAGUGACACUUGUCACCUUUAGGUUUAAAACUUAUCUUUUUGUCUCUCCAAUACAAAUAUCUUAACACAUUGUAAAAUAAUAUCACUUAAUACAAAAUUCCUACAAGUUGUCAAAAAUAUAUUGCGUUUACCGCACUAGCGGGUCCCACGUCCAAAAUACGCUUUUAAUUUCUCAAAAACUAACCGAUACUAGAAAAAUCAUUUGAAAACUAUAUUUGCUCAUAAACUUUAUCUGGGGAAUUUUUCUAAUCAAGAAAAUGUAGAAAAGGCGGGCGAUUAAAUAAAAUAAACCCUAGAAAAUUAGAAAAUUUUCCGGGUUCUCAAACUCAUUUUUUUUCGGGGCGUCACAAAUUGGACACCAAUGACCUAACAGAAGAGGUUUAUGAUAUUUUAGAAACCUCAAACCUCAGGAGAAGGCAGUGAGACUCUCAAAAACCUUAGGGAAGGUUUUUGAAAUUAUCCCUAAACAUAUCUAUAAGACGAAAAAAGGAAAGGCCAAACAUCCAUGCAACAUGCAAUUUUCACAACCAAAAUAUAAAACUUCCAAACGUAAAAGAUUUUGGGGAUAAUUUCAAAAAACCUUAAUUGAAAUUCCUCAUAAUAUCACUUAAUUAGUACCCUUGACCUAUCUCCCUUGAAUUGACUUUUUGAUAACAUGCCAGCCAAUUUGGUAUUUUAGUUGCAACGCUACCCUUAUGUUGUCCUAUUUAUGAAACUUAUAGCAACAAUAAAAAUUAAAAUAAAGAUAAAACGUAAUAUGAAACUAUUAGGGAUUAUAAAUGCAAUAAGCAGUAACUUUGCAGCAAUUUCAACUAUUACCUAGCAUAAUGGAUGCUGCUUUAAUUCACACAAAAAAAAGCAUGGACAAAUUCUAGCUAUAUAUUUGGUUGUGAGAUUGUUUUUAGAUUAAUCUUUUCAAUACUAGCUUAUUUAUAAAUUUUGAGUAUAGAUUAUUUAAGAUUUUAAAUUUGAGUAUAGCUUGAAUAACAUCAUGUAUUAAAAUAUACAUCCUAAAAGAAAUUACUUGGCUUCCUCAAAUCCAUGUAGCAAAAUUUUCUAAAGUGUUAAUUACUUAUCAAAAUUUUGCAAGGGGUGCCCGUUCACUAAAUUCUCAAUCUAACCACCUUCUUUACUUUCCAACUACCACUUGGAUGCAAAGAAAUAUGAAUCAAUAUUGGAUGACCAUUCAACUUAACCACCUUCUUUACUAUCCCACCAUCAAUAUGAAUCAAUAUUGGAUGGCCAUUUGAUUAUGGUUUGUCUGUAUUUUUUUGGUUUUAAAAUUAUCUUUUUAUUUGGUCUUUUUGGUUAAACAGUUAUUAAGAGUGCAAGAGCUAUAUCAUCAAUUCAUGACCUUUGAUGGAAUGUGUGGUCUCAUCAAACUAACAGGAGAGAUAAGUAAGAUUUUAGAAAUCUCAAGAGUAUUGAGUGAUAUUAUAAAAAUCCUCAAGACAGGUUCUUGAAACUAUCCCAAGAUUUUAUUUACCGCGGCUCUUUUCUCCUUGUAAAGCGGAUAGGAUAUAUUUCAAGCAGAUCUAAGGCCGGAAAGCUUGACAAUCUUGCGUUUCAGCCCCUUGAUUACGGUAGGAAUUGAAAUUUCCGCUCUUUUUUUGUGUGGAAAAUAUCAAUUCUUGGAAGCAAAUAUUCCAUAUUUGUGACCCUUUUGAAAAACAAGUGUAUAAGCAAUCUCACAAAUUUUCCGUACACGUAUGAUCAUUUAUCAAUAUUCUAAAGGAUUAUGAAUGCAUCGCCAUCAAAGUAAAUUUUAAGUCCAAACCAAGCUUCCUGUGGUAAUACGGCACUUGUAGCUCCUCCACAUUACAUCCAAGGAAAAAAAACACGUAAGUUUGGAUAGGGAAACACACACACAUAUAUAUAAUUUUACUUACAUUUAAAUACAUUUCUUAUAAACCAUUUAUCUUACAUCUAUCAUAUUGUAAAAAAAUAUUACUGUUAUUAAAUCAAAUAAUACUAUAUUCAAGCACACUCAUACUAUUAUUAGUCCUCAUCCCGUUUUCCAAGCAUCCACAAUCUAUUCUCGUAAUAUAUUUCCUUAAAAACAGGAAAUUUUACAUGACACAGAAUUAGGUGUUUGGAUGUGUUCUCACAAAAAUAACCAUGCAGCAUCCAAAUCUAAAACUAAAAUGUAGAACUCCCAGAGGCAAAAGAUUUUAUUUACUACUCAUUUUCUCCUUUAAAGUAGAUAGAAUAUGGUUCAAGUGGAUUUGAGGCUGGAGAGUUUGGAAACUUAAGCGUUUUAACUCCUUGAAUAUGAUAAAAUUUGAAAAUAUUAAUCAUGAUUUUUAUUUCGUUCCUUUCAUAUUUUGUGGAAAAUAUUGAUUCUUAAAAGCAAACACUUCAUAUUUCUGAAAUUUUUGACCAAAAAAAAAAAAGGUGUAUACACAAUCUCACAAAUUUUCCAUACGCAUAUAUGAUCAUUCUAUCACUAUUGUAAAGGAUCAUUAAUGUAUCGCCAUCAAAGUAAUUUUUACUUCUAAACUACGGCACCCAUAAUUAACUCCUCACAUUCAAAGAAAAUAAAAUUAUUUUAUUAGUCUUCAUCCUGUUUUUCCAAGCAUACCCAUUUGAAUAGUCAAAAAAUCUCUCUUCUUGUAAUAUAUUUCGUUGAUAAUAGGAAAUAUUGCAUUACAGCUAACUAUAGGCUUCGUUUGGAUCAGCUAUUUUUUAGGAUAUUUUAGAAAAAUUUUACUGUAGCAGAGUUUUUAAAGUAUAUUUUGAGAUAUUUUUAUUAAAUAUUUUGAAAUAUUUAAGAGUAGUAGAGUUUUUAAAAUAUAUAUUGAGAUAUUUUUUAAACAUAAAAAAAUUUAAACUAUUUUUUAGAAUAUUUUUUUAAAAUUUUUAUAAUUUUUAAAAAAUUAAUUUUUAAAAAUCUGAAGAAUCCAAAGAGAGCUUACGUUUUUGGAUGUGUUACCACUCAAAAUCCUCUCAGUUAAGGAAAAUCUUGUAUUAUAUCAGUAGUCGGAUGAUGAUGAGCGGGCCUUGUAGUCCCAAUUCAGUGAUUUGAAGUUUUGUACAGUCUCCAACUAAAAGCCCAAUAUACCCCAUAUGGCCCUAAAGUCAAACUUAUCGUUGAUAAAUUAUUUGGAGGCAUAAUAAAUAUUGGUAGUAUAAUCCGUCGAAUCAGUCACUAUUGAUUACCAUUUCGGCUAGAAGAGGGGACAAGAAUACUUGUCAAUACAACCACUUGUGAACGGUGCAACUCUGUAUGAAUAAUUUGCAACUCUAUGUAAAUUAUUUAUAAAAUUUUAUAACAGAUAUACAAUUAUUAUAUAUGAAACCUAGAUAAAGAGUAAUAGAUAUUACACUUUUAUUAUAAGAUUAUACAAUCAGUUAAAAAAAAGUUACAACUUGUUUAGAUUAUAUUACAUUAUUUAGGAAUGAUUGAACUGAUAGCCGUUCUUGCUCCUUUGCCCAUUCCAGCUGGCCAGCUACGGGCUUCAUUCACUAACAGUUAAGAAAAAAAAUAAAAAGAUGAAACCGAUAAUCCUUGAUCAUUGGCCGGUGAUAAUGCCAUAGUUGCUAUUUUAAUGUAAGACCAAUUUUCGUUCAAAAUUAUAAAUGUAUCCUUUCUGAUGUGACAAUCUUUUACAAGUGGGAAGUAGGUUUGUCAUUUUUUGAUAAAAGUUGCUUUGACGUUAAAACACCAACUGUGACUGUAUAGUUUACCUUUAGUACUAGGAAGUCAACAAAGGGGGCAUGGAACUCUUUUCAAAAAAAAAAAAAAAAAAACAAAGGGCAUGGAACUAUUUGCAAAUUGAGAUUUAUCGGAAAUUGAAUGAUGGAGAUUAUUGUGGAACACAACUUUCAUUGAGUGUUAAAUUUUUUUUUGUAUUUUUGUAUAUUUUUAUUUUAGUGACUACCUUUAUUAUUUUACUUUGUAUAUUAUACGUUAUAAUUGACACUAGUAAUUGUAGAGAGUAAGUGUUAAAGUCCUUAACCAAAACACCCCAAUGGAGAAUUUAAUCAAUCCCAAACGUAAAACCUUGUCACAUUGAACAAAUUGGUCCUUUUUUUUCUUUUGAUAAGAGAAACUUUUCAAUCUUUUUUCGAAGAAACCAGCAUUUUGCACAUAAAUAUUUGCUACAAGUGGGUACCUAGCUAGCAAUUCGUAAACAUUGAAAGCAUCCAAAGUUAGACCAGCAUUAAAUAUUGUGUAAAUCUAAUUAAGGUUAUAUUUAAGUCCUCAAUUCACUUUUUUUUUUUUUUGAAGGGUCCUCAAUUAACUUUCAAUAAGCAAAAUUUCACCACCAAUUAGGUCAUAGUAACAACAAAUAGAAUCCUAAGGAUUGAAUCCCAAGAAUAGAAGUUGAUGUAUAUUGAUGUUACAUCACCAUGCAAAUUAAAAGUGACAAAACUUGCUGUUCCGUUGCUGAAAUUUUUGCGACUCAAUGUAUUGCAAAAUCCAAGACUCUCUCCUUUUCUCUUGCCAAACGAAUUGAAACGAAAUUUCUUAGCAAUUGCAGUACCCAGCUGGCCUUUUUUGUUUUGCCACUUUGUGCCUUGGGACAAACCAAAACCAACAGUUGGAUUGAUUCAGAAGAACCAUGUUAGUCCAUGACAAUUUCGUCAUGAAGGUUGCAAUGCAAAAAAUCUACAGCUCAGUCAGCUAGCUUCUUGGAGUUAGUGUUGUCUCCAACUGAUGAAAUGCCUACUUUCAAUAUUGACAUCUAGGGGUGGUAACCUGUGUGGUGAAAUGAGUAAACUUAUGAAUUAAAAAAAAAAAAGGGUUAUGAGAAAAGAACACCAUACUUUUUUUUUAUAAACAGCCGAGUGCUAUUAUAUGAUACUGGUAUUUUAUCAAUAUCAACUGUUUUUCUAAACAAAACCUCUGGCAUGAGAUAUACACCAUUCUUCUUUGUGACAAUUUGAAAAGCAGAUCUAGUGAUUUUUUUUGUUUUUUGCCAUUUUACGCUUACUAUGAGCUUGACAUUGUUUCUCAUGAAUUUUUUCUUUUCGUUCAACAAAUAACGAAGCAUAUCUCUUUCUUGCUCUUUCAUUCCGAAGCUGUUUUUUAGCAUUCAGUUUAUUGUUACAUCCAUCCAUUCUAAACAGUGGCGGAGCCAGAAAAAAUUUUCAGUGGGGCCAAAAGCAAUACUAAAAUUUUUUACCUACUCUUUUUCUAGUUUUUUAAGGAAAAAAAAAAUAUUCACCAACAAGCUGAAAUGAAAAUCCCUUUUUUAGCUUACUUCAAAUGGAAUUUUGUGGCCCACAUAUCCUUUUAGAAUAUUAGUUUAUGAACCAAUUUAGAGGAUCACGUAAUUCUUUCACUUCCUUCGUAAAAAAACUCUAGAGGCACAUUUAAAAUUAUAUCAAAAUUCUACAGGUAUUAUAGGAAUUUAAGAAGGACAGUGGGGGCCGUGCCCCCAGUGCCCCCACCUUAAAUCCGCCACUAAUUCUAAAAUUUGAUGCAAGUAAGAUAACUUUUUAAAAUCUGCUAUCAUAAGUACAACGAUUACCUAAUGGUUCUAGAGUUUAAACAACCUCUAAGCAGCAGCAAUUCCAAUGAACAAAUGCAAGUUCAAAUAAAUAGAGAGAAACCAAAUAAGCAAAUCACCAAUUUUGUCAGCUGUAGUAAUCCAUCAAUAACAUUAACUAAGGCAAAGGCAAAUGAGUCAUAUAUGCAAAUCACAACAUAUGUAUCUCAUUAAUGAACAUCACCGUGCAUGCAGCAAAACAAGAUCUUGAUAUUCUUCACAACCAAUAGAGAAACAACCAUUUAACAAAUAGCAAAAGAGUGUCUGCUAAGCUUAUCUACUAAACCUUAAAUCCUAACACAGUUCCAGUUUUUUUUGUGCAAGUGAUUGUUAAAGCAAGGUAUAAAGAUUCAACUACCUACACCAAAAUGAGAAUCAACAUCAAAAUGAGAAUCAACAAUUCACAUAUACUAAUUGUGAGUGAAGAUUUAAAUCUUACCGUUAAGUCAAAAUUCUAGUAUACAGAUAACUUUUCCUCACAAUUCAACCAUCUACACCUAUGAAAAUCAGAUUUUUCAAGCACAGUUAGAAGAAAAGUCAAAUUUUCAACAUUCACAGGUAUCAUCUACUUCGUAAUGAAAUGCUCAUAUUCAUAUAAUAGCUAAUGAGAAAAAUUGCAGUACAAAACUCAUAGUAUCUAAUGUACCAGUUGAAUACAAAAAAGUAUAAAAAAAAAUAGACAUAGAGAAAAAAUAAACCUGUGCGAACUCCCAUAAAAAGAUAUGGAAUACAAACACCUGAACCAACAUUCUUCAAUACCCAAAACCCUCAUUAUUGUUAUGAAGCUCCAAGGCAUUACAAUUAUUUAGGUAAAUGAAUAGAAAUGAUUCUUCACCUAGUCCACAUUAAAGCUCUCUUUAAGAUAAAUCAAUUAGUGAUUUCAAUAAACCACACUCUUUACAUCAGUUUCAUUCCAUCAUCUAGAAUUUCAAGAAUUGUAAAAGAAGAGGAAAGGUGCUGCAGUUACAAUCCUAAUGAGUUACAUGAAUGAUUCUUCAUCUAAUAUGCAUUAAAACUCUCUUAACUAGAGCUCAAUUACUCACUCAUUUGAGUUCUCCCCAUUCUUUAUUCAAAUUGAAUUGCAUGUCUUUCAUUCUGCCUGGUUUCUCAUCUAUCGACAUCCUUGUUGUAUUCGUAUGAAUGACACACUUAAUGAAUAGUUUAGCUGUUAAGCUGUUAAUUUAAGAAAGUGAUAAUCACUGCCAAGGGUAAUAUAGAGAAACACUGCUAGAGGAAGCAUCACAAUAUUGUACUCGUAGCUAAAUCAUUUCCAUCGCACGUUUCCCCGCCUCAAAUUAUCCCUAGACAUAGCGCACACAAAUUUCCCAGUAGUCUGCCACAACCCCACUCGAAAGAGUAGUAUAGCUAACAACUACAAAAGCAAGCAUAACAAUGUUGUACUUUGCGCUUCAUCAUUUCUAUUGUACUUUCCCAUGUCCAAAUUUACCCCUCCACGUGAUAGAUGAAAAUUUCCCAACAAUCAAUUGCAAAGUGCUUUUUAUACAUGUAUAGAAUGUCUGCGAUACCUUAGGCUUUGAUAUCUCUCUGUUCUUGGUUUGACCAGGCCUAAUUCAAUUGUUAGCUACUUGCUGUCUAGUACUACUACUAUAUAGGCCUUGUUUUCCAUUAUUUUAGAUUUUAUAAAAUUUGAUUAUGAAAAAUAAUUAUAGAAAAUCAUUAGAAUCAGAAAAAGUGAUUUUUUAGUUGAUUAUAUAUUUUAAUUUUUUUGUAAUUAAAAAAUCUAUAUUUUGAAUGCAAAAGUAAAAAAAAUAUAAAACUGAUUAUCCAAAAUCAGAAUUUAUAUUCAACUAAGUAAUUAACCAAGAACAAGUCCAUAGUAUAUAGCAGUGACGAGAUAUUCUCCAAAAUCUAAAUGCUUUCAAUGACAACCGAAAUUUCUUCAAAGCACAUUUCUUUGAUGGAAUACCCACUUUUCGGUUUCUAAUAAUUUUAUAGCAGCAAACGUAAAUAUUUUGUCCAAUUUCUGGCAAACAGUUUCCAGAUAGUGAUGCAGAAUUAAGAUAUUCAAUAAUUUUUUAAAAAAAAAUAUUAAUCCCUGUGCCCCAUGGAUAGACUCUAAUAGUCUGAUUAUGGGUCAUGUCUGUUUGGGCUGAAUUUACGUGUCGUUUGGUAGGCCUUACAUUAAACAGGCCAGGUAGAUCCAACUCAAACUAAGUUAGGCCCAUAAUUCUAUUGGAGCAUGAGCUAAAUAGCCUGAACUAUACUUGGAAAGCCCAUAAACACUAGUCAAUUCAUGAGUCCACUUCGUCCUGGUCAUCCUGACCUGAAGAGAGCUUUACAAGUUGCAAAAGAAGGUUAAAACCUGUGCAGUAAAUAUUUAUUUUUUUCGAAAAUGCAAGAACACUAUAGAAUGUAAAAGAUAUGGUUGAAAAUUUACGAAAUUUUUUUUAAGAGUAAAUCUUAUAUACACUGACAGUGUAUACACUAUCACGACUAGAUGCACGACAUAUAUGCAAAAUUUGGGUUUCAAAUUCAAAUUUGGAUUAUGUGUCGUGCAUCCAAUGGUGAAAGUGUCUAUACUGUCAAUGUAUAGAAGAUGAAUCAUUUUUUUAAAAUGCAUGAACACUGUAAAGAGUAAUUUGAAUGAAUUUGUACGAACUUAUUCUUUUUUUUUUUUUUUUUUGAUAAAAAUAAUGAUUUCAUGAAUGUUUGAACUUAUUCUUAAAGUCGAACAAUUUGAUGUAAUCCUACCAACUUAUGUUAAUCUGCACAUCUUCAACCAAGUUUCUCAUUUUAUACGUUCUUUCUAAUUUUUGCAAAAAUUCUUGUACAUUAACAAGAACCGUGUGUACAUUUUGCAAUUUUUGUUAAGUGAAUUGAGUGGCUUUGAUUUGACCCAAAGAGUAUACAUGUGACCUAGCCCAAAAUGACCCAUACAAGAAUGUUAGGUGCAGUGCAAUCCUUCAUGUGUCAAAAAAUAGUAGGUGAGUAAAAUAAAUUUUACGAGAUUAUUCUUGCUGUAUCCUUCCUACCACGGAAAAACAUACACCUCAUGCUCACCUAUUCCUGAAAUGCAAAGUAAGCAAGAUAAUUUAGUUUAAAUUUACCAAAUCACAGAAAUAAAUGGUCUAAUGUUAAUCAGCACCUACUGUGACCAAAACAGUUAUCUGGACCCCUUAAAAGUUUAACUACAGCAAUUACUUAGUCAAAAUUUAAGGCUCCCAGAUAUAAGUUAAUAACAAAUCUUUCUGAGAUCAUUUACAGGAAAAUAGUAGAUAGAUGCAGAACAAGUUGCAUGCAUAAUGUUUACAUCUUACAGCCU